AAAAAAAAAGAGUUCAAAGUUGAUUUUAUGUGGAAGAAAAGUGCGGUACGUAUACAUGGAAACGUAAGGCAGUACAAAUGAAAAUUACUUUUAUUAAAUAUGUACCAAAAAAAAGUACCUUACAAGUACGUCUUAGUUAUAAUUUUUCGUUUUCCUAAUAGCCGAUUAUUUUGGGACUUUUUACAAAACAUUUUUAAAGGAAAGAAAAAAAAAACUACUGCCAAAUUCACUAAAUGAAUUUUAAUUAGACUGUCAUUAAUAUCAUUUUUACUUCUAUACCGAUAUCAUUUAGUUAAAUUUUAAUUAUUAUUGAAUUAUUUUUGUUUUUAUUUUGUAAUUUUUGAAUUUUAAAAUUCCUGAGGUAAACAAUAGUUGUUAGAUUCUAUUAUUUUUAAAAUAUUAGAUGGUAAACAUAUUAUUUUAUGUAUAAUGCAACGUCAAUUUACGAAUUUUACAUAAUAAUUAUAAAAAGGUCUCAUAAAUUUUUAAUUUAUGGAUUUAACGAUUAUCAUUUAAAUUAUUAUCAAAAUUCAAUAAAGUAUAUAGAUUAAAAAUGAUCAAACUUGAUAACCUGGACCAAAUUCAUAACUUACGCAUAGUAUGAGACUUAUAGCAAAUUUUGACCUAACCAAUUCAACUCUUACCAUUUGGGUUAGGACUAGAUUUUCAGAAUUCAAAACGUAUGUAGCGACGUAAAAUUUGCUUUCGGUCGCUAAUUGUGGCGAUUUAUUAUAAACUUGAAAACUGAAGUUUGAUUGCUAAAUAAACAGAGAGUCGCCACCGAUCCUUUUUGUAGAUGUGAUCGGACACCUAAUAUAUCGUCUUUUUUGAAAAGAAAAUUUAUUCUCGAACAAAAACGAAGGCUAAAUUUAGGUCUACGUGAAAAGCCAGAGAAAGAAUUAGGGUUCGGGAGUCGGUUACGCACGAGGAAGGUAUUAGCACCCUCGCGACGCCCAAAAUUGGUAUCUUAUAAAACACGUGUUGUCUUGACUUUCAAAAAUACGAGUUCAAUGUAACAUUUAGUCGUAAUCCAGUUGAAACACAAGAAUUUUCACUUUUUUCAAUUUUUUCGAUUUUUGAGAAGGACAUACCGUUUUAACACGAGCCACUUGAUAUUCACCCAACAUAGCGAUGAAAUCGAUGACAUAGUGUUUAAAUCGGUACGUUGCCUUGCUUAUUGAAAUAAAUAAAAACACGAAUAAACGUUUUAAAAUAAUAAACAACGAGGUAAUAUAUAAAAAUGGGCGGGAAACGAAAGAAAAUAGUUGGAAAUACAUCAAGGCACAUAAUACAUACGACAAUAAUAUUAAAAAACAAUGACAAUGCACACGAUAUUAAAUGUAACAAUAGUAUCAAAUACGAGAACACAAUGAAUAUACAUAUGUAAAAGAAUGACAUUAAGAGUAUGUACAUAAUAUAUAGGAAAUAUACUACAUAUAAUAUUUGAAAUAUACAUGAAGUGAUAAAAAUAUACAUAACUAUUAGUGUUAAAGUAUAUACAUAUGAAAGACGUUUACAUAGUAAUACUAAAUAUAAGUACUAAUUUAUAUAUAUACAUAUAUUUAAAAAUACAUAAUAAUAUUAAAGAAUACGUACAUACUAUACAUACACAUAUAAUAAGAAAAUACAUACAAUAUGUAAUAUUAAGAAUAUAUAUAUGAAUAGUAAUAGAGUUAGAAAUAUACUAUAUACAGUGUUCGAAAAAUAUACCUAAGAUAGUAAAAAUAUGACUAAUAAUGUUAAAAUAUAUACGUGAUAUAUACAUAUAUAUAAAAUAAAUAUUGAAAAAUACAUGUACAUAACAUAUAUGAAAAAUAUAUACAUAAUAAUAUUAAAAUAAAAUGAUAAGUAAAAAUAAUGAAAAUAAUAGGUAUAAUAAUAAAUAUAACGACGUAUAAUACUAUAUAUAAAAGUAUAUAUAUAUAUUCAUAUAAUAAAAUGUAUGUACUAGUGUUAGCAAUAAAAUAAUAGGGAUAAAAAAUAGAUAUAAUAAUAUAUACAUAAUAUACAAAAAUAUAACAUUAAAAUAUAUAUAUGUAAUAUACAAGAAAUAUAUAUAUAAUAGUAUUAAGACUAAAAACAUAAGAUAGUAUAUAUACAAAAAUAAGUAAUAAAAUAAUAUGUACAUAAAAUACGUAUAUACACAUAUGUGAAUAAGUAAUAACAUCAUUAAAAAUAAGUAAUAAUAAUGAAAAUAAUAAGAUCAAUAAUAAACAGUAAUGAUAAAUGUAUUAUAAAAGGAUGAAAAAUAAUAAUUAUAUAUAUAAUAGAAAUAAGUGUAAUAAUAAUGAUAAAAAUAAUAAAAUAUUCCUAAAGAUAAUACUAAUAAUAACAGGUAGUAUAAUAAUAAAUAUAUAUGUAAAAGGAUAACAUAAUUAAUAAACAAAAUACUAAAAUGAUAAGCAGGGAUUAAAUUGAAAGCAAAUAGAAAGUUUGAGACAAAUUUUAAAGAAACAAAAACAAAUGAAAGGGACUUAUUUGAACACGCGCUAAACUAAAGGGGUCCAAAACACAAUUUUCCAGCUAUUAAAACGCUGCGCAGCGUGGGGGACCAGAAUGAACUCGGAACAAAACAACAGGGCCGAAUUAUAAUUAAAAGAAAACUUGAUUGCAAUUCGUAAAAAAAGCGGAAGGGCUAAAGGUGCAAUUAGCCCUUCCGUAGAAAACACGCGGAUCCUCCUUGGAGCGGGUCGGACAAUCGGGUCGGAGGCUCAAAACGGCGUCGUUUUGGGGCUUAAGUACAGCCCCCAAAACUACGCCGUUUCGGAGGGCUAUAAAUAAGCCCAAUUUCAGAAAAAAAAUUCAUUUGUGAGUGGAGAAAGAAAAAAAAGGGAGAGAAGAAGAGAGGGAAAGAGAGAAGAGGGAGAACGGAGGACUCCGGCCAGGGAGCCGAUCACCGGACCGUCGCCAAAAUUCUAUUUUUUUGUUUUUUUUAUUUUUUUUAUUUUUUUGCUUUUUGCUUUUUAUUUUUUUGGUAUUUGUUAAUAUAUUUUAUGUGUAUCUAUAAGAAAAAUGAAACACUUAUCAAUAUAUGCGUGAUUUCAAAGAAAAGAAAGAAAUAAUAAACCUUUCGUGUCUGCGAUUUGUUGCUGAAUCUGAUUUUUAAUAUUGUGGAGAUUGUUCUUUCUAUAUUCUGGAAACACACUGUUUUUGUAUUGAUAGCAAUAGCCGAAUUGAUCUAGUCGGAAAAAAAAAAAGAAAAGAGCCCCCCGUUACAGUUUUUGAUUUGGGUUUUUAUAACCCUUUUUCACCUAUUUUUUUAUUGCUUCUGUCUUGUCUGAUUGCAGGGAAUGGGCACGGACGGUGGGGUGUGUGAUGGCUCAGCACGCGCGGGGCGUGAUGGCCGACAUGGUGGAGCAGUGUCAGGCGCACAUGGGGAAACGGCGCCAGAAACCCUAGGGUUUCUGGCUUUCCAAAAUUUUUUAGAGUUUUGGGCCUAUCGGGCUUCACUGUUUUGGGUUGGUGUUGGGUUUAAGUGUUUAGGUUAGUUUGGGUUUUGGGUUGUAAAUGGGUUUUGGGUAUUUGUAUUUGGGCCUGGGCAAUUUAAAUGGGUCAUUUGGUUUUGAUUGUAAACAGGCCAAAAUUGGCCUACAACAGCUGCCCCUCUUUGCUCAUUAUUGUGUAACGAGAAUAGAGCAAAAACAUAAAGAGAGACCAAUUUUGUCUGGUCUUGCUGAGUCUUGACUUCUUUGGUGCUCUUCUUGUUCAGGUAGUCUCUUUCCAGUCCACCGUAUUGUAGCUUUGGUUCAAUCCAUUGCAUCUUUCGAUAUGACUUGUAGCUUCAAUCUGUUUCACUGUAACUUUAGAAAGAUAAGCUCUACAGCUUCACUUUGUUCUUCUAUCGCUUUUAGUGAGAUAAGGUUUGGAUCUUCUGCAACUUUAGAAAGGCAAGAUUUGUAUCUUCGAUCAGCCCCGCUGCAACUUCAGGGAGACUAAAUCUGGUGUCUUCCAUUAGCUCUAAUCUUUAUUUUUUACUUGACAUGUGAUCUUGAGCUCAACUCAUUUCUCGCAAUAUGAAUUGACUCAUAAAAAAUAGAAAUUGAAAAUAGCUCAGCACGUGAGCAAAGGCUCAACUCAUUUCUCGCAAUAUUAGUUGAUUUUUUAAAACAGAAUUUGCAAAACAGAUUUUGAAAAUACCUCGGUAUGUGACCUGAGGCUCAACUCACCUCUCGUAAUAUGAGUUGAUUUUUGAAAAGCAUAAAUUGAAAAAACAUUAAUUGAAAAUACCUCAGCAUGCCUCGAGGCUCAACUCACCUUUCGCAAUAUGAGUUGAUUUUGACGAACAGAAAUUGAAAAGACCUCAGCAUGUGAGCCAAGGCUCAACUCACCUCUCGCGAUAUGAGUUGAUUUUUGACAAACAGAAAUUGAAAUUACCUCAGCGUGUCCUGAGGCUCAACUCACCUCUCGCAAUAUGAGUUGAUUUUUUUUUAAGAGCAAAAAUUGGAAAGCAGAAAUCGAAAAUACCUCAGCGUGCCCUAAGGCUCAACUCACCUCUCGCAAUAUGAGUUGAUUUUUUUGACAAACAUAAAUUGAAAUUACCUCAGCGUGUCCUGAGGCCCAACUCACCUCUCGCAACAUGAGUUGGUUUUUUUGAAAAGCAGAAGCAGAAAUUGAAAAUACCUCAGCGUGCCCUGAGGCUCAACUCACCUCUCGCAAUAUGAGUUGAAUUUGAAAAGCAAAAGUAAAACAUCAGAAUACCAAAACAUGUCAUCUGGAGGAACUCAUGUGUCUUUUCAGCUAUCAUCACAUCCUCUUGCUCUACUAGAGUACCUGUAUAUGUCAUGCAUGAUAUUAUCAUGAUAUGCACAUGUUUGUCGUAAAUGAUUUUAUGCCUACAUGAUUAAGCUAUGAGCUUUAGGCAUGUUUGUCAUAUAUCCCUUUUUCGUCACGAUUUUCGUGAUGAUCUGCAUUCAUUACUUCAGCUCCUGACUUCCUCUUUAGGCCCUGUACCCGUCCUCAAGUUUCACGAGUAACCAAUGUUUCUCAAAUAUCACUCUUUUGCCCCUGGUUGAACUUUUUCCUUACUUUGAGAUUCUUGUACUUAUUAAAUUCUUACCCGGGUGAUGCUUAACAUUUCUUUUGUUUAGAGUAUGUCAUUUCACUAUUUAUCAUGUAAAUGAACCACAUAAUGAGAUGCAUGAAAAUGGUUAGGUAGGGACAAAAGGAUACCUCACAUUUAUUCAUUUCAAAUGUAGCAAACAAAGAAAGUUAACCAAUGAUAGUAAAAGAGUGUCAUAAAGAGAAAAGGGAUUGCAUUGAACGAAUACAAAUGCUCUAGAUAUUCAAUGCAUGAACACUUCCACGUUCCUCAAUCAAGAAUCUUUUCGAGCAUGGCUUCUUGCGUAAAAGAUUUCGAGCUUUCAGAAAUGCUUCAAAUACGAUAGUCUCACUAUUUGACCCACCGUUCAAAAUGCCUUACUUUUUAAGCCAGUGCUUGCUUCAUUAAAACGCCCUUUCGGGUUUUCAUCCUAUUCUUUUUUGUUAAUCAAGACACCCUUUUCGGGUUUUUAACUUGAUCACCCUUUUUUUUAGGAUGCCCUUUUCGGGUUUUCAUCUUGGUUUCCUUUUUCAAGCAUAAUAUUUCUUUACAGCAUCUGAGUUCACUGGAUUCAGUUACUCCUUCCCAUCCAUCUCGGUGAGAAUCAAAGCUCCGCCCGAGAAUGCCUUCUUUACGACGUAUGGACCUUCCCAAUUUGGCGUCCAUUUUCCUCGAAAGUCUUUUUAUAUUGGGAGAAUCUUUCUCAGCACGAGUUCUCAUUCGUGGAAUUCUCUUGGCCGUACUUUCUUGUCAUGGGCUGCGAUCAUUCUCUUCUGGUACAUCUGUCCAUGGCAGACUGCUUUCAGAUGUUUUUCUUCAAUAAGGUUUAACUGGUCAUAUCGAGCUCGAACCCAUUCUGCUUCUUCUAGUUUUGAUUCCAUUAAGACUCGUAGGGAGGGGAUCUCAACUUCGAUGGGUAGCAUAGCUUCCAUUCCAUAGACCAGAGAGAAAGGAGUUGCUCCCGUAGAUGUCCGCACAGAUGUACGAUAUGCAUACAAAGCAAAUGGUAGCUUCUCGUGCCAGUCUUUAUAUGUCUCGGUCAUUUUCCUAAUAAUCUUUUUAAUAUUCUUAUUAGCUGCUUCAACAGCUCCGUUCAUCUUUGGGCGAUAAGGUGAGGAGUUAUGAUACUUUAUUUGGAAUUGCUCACUCACUUCUUUCAUCAUCUUGUUGUUCAAAUUCAAGGCGUUAUCUGAAAUGAUUAUUUCAGGCAAACCAUAUCAACAAAUAAUUUCCUUUUUCAAAAACCUGCAAACUGCAGUCUUCGUCACAUUGGCAAACGAUGCGGCUUCUAUCUAUUUUGUGAAGUAAUCAAUGACCACAAAAAUAAAAUGGUGUCCAUUAGAAGCUUUUGGAGAGAUUGACCCUAUAACAUCCAUGCCCCACAUAGAAAAAGGCCACGGAGAAGUCAUGACAUGAAGGGGCGAAGGAGCUACAUGAAUUUUAUCACCAUAAAUUUGACAUUUGUGGCAUUUCUGUGUGAAACUAAUGCAGUCACUUUCCAUCGUCAGCCAGUAAUAACCGAGUCUCAUAAUCUUCUUGGCCAUAGUGAAACCAUUAGCGUGUGUCCCACAAAUUCCUUCAUGGAUAUCUUCAAGUAUUUUUCUGGCUUCAACAGCAUCCACGCAUCUCAAGAGCACCUGAUCUUUUCCUCUUUUGUAUAGGAUGUCCCCAUCAAGAACAAAUCCCGCUGCCAUUCUUCUGGUAGUUCUUUUGUCGUUCUCAUUUGCUUGUUCAUGAUACUUUUAAUUCUUGAUAUAUUCUAAGAUAUCAUGGAACCAUGGCCGUCCGUCUGGCUCCUUUUCAAUGCUGAAAUAAUGGGCAGGGACUUCAUAUAUGCUCAUUUGAAGAGACAUUAUUUCAGUUUCUCUACUCGCUUUGAACAUUGAAGCUAACGUGGCCAGGGCAUUAGCUAACUGGUUUUCUUCUCGUGGGAAGUAAUUAAAAGUUAUUUCUUCGAAUUUUUUAAUCAAUUCUGCCAUUAGAUCAUUGUAUUUAACCAGUUUCGAGUCUCUCACUUCCCAAUCUCCACGGAUUUGGUAAAUCACCAAGGCUGAGUCUCCGUAUACCUCUAAAGUUUUGACGCUUCGUUCAAUAGGUGCACGAAGUCCCAUGAUACAUGCCUCAUAUUCCGCUAUGUUAUUAGUACAGAAGAAGUUCAACUUGGCAGUGAGUGGGUAAUGGUUCCCUUCUGGUGAUACUAAGACUGCUCCAACCCCUUGCCCCAAUGCGUUCGAUGCACCAUCAAAGCUCAUCUUCCAUGACUUCUCUUUUGGUGACUCGCAUUCUUCUUCUGUAAUGCACAUCAAAUCUUCAUCCGGGAAUUCAAAUCUCAAUGGCUCAUAUUCAUCCAUUGUUCGGGUCGCCAAAAAGUCAGCUAUUGCGCUUCCUUUUAUUGACUUUUGACUCACAUAGAUGAUGUCGUACUCUGAUAGUAAGAUCUGCCACCGUGCCAUUCUUCCUGAGAGUGCAGGUGAUUCCAUCAUGUACUUUAUUGGGUCCAGCUUUGAAAUUAACCAUGUUAUAUGAUACAAUAUAUAUUGCCUAAGUCUUUGAGCUACCCAAACCAGAGCGCAACAGUAUUUUUCAAUAGACAAAUAUUUUGCCUCGUAUUCAGUGAACUUUUUACUGAGGUAGUAGAUCACCUUUUUUUUCUUUCCUGGCUCGUCGUGUUGCCCCAGUACGCAACCCAUUGAAUUUUCGAACACAGUCAAAUACAAUAUCAAUGGUCUUCCCGGAGUUGGCGAUACAGCACUGGAGGACUAGACAAAUAUUGUUUUAUCUUAUCAAAGGCCACCUCGCACUCCUCAUUCAAUUCUCUCGGGUUAUGUUUUCGAAGAAGCCGAAAGAUUGGGUCGCAUCGGUUGGUAAGUUGAGCGAUGAAUCGGGUGAUGUAGUUUAACCUCCCUAAAAAUCCUCUGACUUCCUUUUACAUGCGCGGAGGUGGUAACUCUUGAAUGGCUUUUAUUUUAUUUGGAUCAACCUCGAUACCUCUUUCACUGACAAUGAAGCCCAGCAAUUUUCCCGAAGUAGCCCUAAACGUACAUUUGGUCGGAUUGAGCUUUAGCUGGAACUUUCUCAGUCUGUCGAACAAUUUCUUCAGGUUCACUACAUGCUCUUCUUUCCCUCGGGAUUUAGUAAUCAUAUCGUCGACGUAGACCUCUAUUUCUUUAUGCAUCAUGUCAUGGAAUAACGUCACCAUAGCCCUCUGAUAUGUUGCCCCAGCAUUCUUUAACCAAAAUGGCAUCACCUUGUAGCAGAAUGUUCCCCACAUUGUUACGAAGGUAGUUUUCUCCAUAUACUUAGGGGCCAUCUUGAUCAGAUUAUACCCCGAGAAUCCGUCUAUGAAAGAAAACAAUGAAUGUUUUACUGUGUUAUCCAUCAACGUAUCAAUGUGUGGUAAGGGAAAAUUAUCUUUAGGACUUGCUUGAUUCAGGUCACGAGAAUCCACGAACAUUCGUACUUUGCCAUCUUUCUUUGGUACCGGGACUAUGUUAGUCACUCAUUCUGGAUAUUUGGAGGCUUGUAGGAAGCCAGCAUCAAAUUGCUUCUUGACUUCCUCUUUUAUCUUCAACAACAUCUCAGGCCUCAUCCGUAUUAACUUUUGUUGAAUGGGCUUGCAUUCUGGCUUUAAUAGGAGCUUAUGGACCGCUACAUCUUCAUCCAAUCCUGGCAUGUCCUGAUAUGACCACGCGAAUACAUCUUUGUACUCGUGGAGUAAAGCAAUCAAAUUAUGCCUGGUGCCCCCUGAGAUAGAAGUCUCAAUCUUCAUUUCUUACUUCCUUUCUUCGGUUCCCAGAUUUAUUGUUUCAACAGAUUCUUAAUGAGGCAAAAUCUGUUUAUCCUCUUGUUCUACCAUUCUUAGCAAGUCAGGAGACGAGACAUGGUCUUCAACAUUUUUUUUGGCUUCGAAUUUUCCUAAACAAACAACCUUCUCAAAAUCGAUUUCAGGACUCGUAACGGGUUUGUUCAUGCUGUUGACAUCUGGGCACCUGAAAGUUGAAUGGAAAAGGAAACUAUAGAGGGGUAUCCAAGUAUUGGAACCAACAAACGAAAUGUUAUGGCAUGGCAUGAGGCAGAUGUAAGGAUUGGCUAUGAAAUGAGAAAAUGAUUAUGAAAUUAGUGAUAAAGUGAAAGAUUAUGACAAAAUGCAUCUUCAUUGAUAUUCAUUUGAAUGAUAAAGAGCGAAUGCAGGCUCUUACAAAAGAAUUCUAUUAUAUUUAAGGACAUAACAGAAUGUUAACGUUUGAGCAUUACUCUGAAGACUUAUAAACUACAAGAAGAUCUUCGGCAGUCAAAUUGUUCAACCUGAAACCUAGGGGACAAGGGCGUAUCCUUGAAACGUUUUUACUUGCGUUAGCUCAUUUGUCAAUGACGUUUAUACUGAUAUUCUGAAAACCCUUUUCGAUCAUUAACAUUGUGCCUUGUGCAUUAUCCCACCCUGGGUAUAUCAUUCCCGCAGAUGUAAAUGUUUUUGACAAAAGAGGGAAUUUGAUAGGCUCUCAUUCUGGUUCUCGGCCUAAGGUUCUCGCGAUCCUUCUUUCCUGAUCUUUCUUCCACUGUCUUCUUCUUUGACGCAUGUCCGGCUGGAAACCUAAACCGUAUCAGGCCUUGUGGUGUACUGGCCUUAGAGCCCUAACUAUUCCUUGCAGAUAUCUCCCUAAACCUCUUCUCGCUCGAGCUCCCCUUCCUAUAGUCAACUUGAUACCCAUCCUGGUAUUUCUCGACAGUUUUGGCUCGGGAAUUUUGUUACCCUCAGCGACGAAUGUGGCAUUGACAAUUUCAAGAGAUCGGAAGGAACAUUCUACUGCGUCUUUGCUUACUUCAAGGUAUGGUGCAUCAGCAGAGAUAGAUGCAACAAUGUCUUCUUCUCCCUCGACAGUGACCAAACAACCAUCCAUGAUAAAUUUCACCUUUUGAUGGAGGGAUCAUGGGACUACUCCAGCAGAAUGGAUCCAAGGUCUUCCCAAGAGACAAUUAUAUGAUGGUGUGAUGUCCAUGACUUGAAACUCAACAUCGUAUAUGUAGGGACCCAGUUCUAGAGGGAUCUCAAUUUUUCCCAUAACUUCUCGUCUUGUUCCAUCGAAUGCCCUUACUAUAGAAUGGCAGGGUCUUAGAUAGGACAAAUCCAUCGGAAUCCUGGAAAGUGUGGCCAAAGGCAUGACUUUGAGUGUCGAUCCGUUGUCGAUGAGCAAGUUCGGUAUUGUAUAGCCCUUACAACGGGUUGUGAUAUGCAAUGCUUUCACUGAGCCUCUACCAUUUGACGGUAUUUCAUCGUCACUGAAAGAAAUGAAAUUAUCCGCAUUCAAGUUGUUCAUCCAUCUAUCCAGUUUUUCAACGGAUACAUUGUUUGCCACAUAAGCUUGAUUUAACACUUUCAGCAGAGCGUUCCGGUGUGGUUCUGAAUUCAACAGCAGAGAUAAUACCGAGAUUCGCGCUGGCUGCUUACUCAAUUGUUCUACCACGUUGUACUCACUGUGCUUGAUAAAUUUUAAGAAUUCCUGUGCUUCCUCGUCGUCCACAGGCUUUUUAGCUUCUUGUUCAGGCACAGUUUCAUGCUUAUCUUCGGUCACGUGCAUCGGUGCUUUUUUUUUCUGUUUCAAGUCACUGUUCUUCUUCACCUCCUUCGAUAACAUCUUCCACUACGAGUGAAAUGACCUACUUCCCUGACACUUCCAGUCAUGGCUUUAGGUUUUUCAUCUUCAGGUGUGACGAUAUUAACGUCAUAUUUCCAUGGUACUGCUUUAUUGUCCUUGUAAGAGAAAGGAGACGGUACUUCAAUUAUCAUUUUUGGUUUCACCAGUUUCUUCCUUGCAUCGUAAUAAAUUACGAAUGGUCGAUCGGCGCUAUAUAGACAACCUGAUGAUUGGCUGUCAGAGGCACAUACUUCUUUCUCAUUGGCCUCUCCUUCAUUAAUGAUAUCAAUCUCCUUAUUAUCUAUCCGGUCUUGCAGUAACCUUUUAAAAUCCUCACAUGAUUGAAUGUCCUGCCCUACAAUUCCAUGAAAAUCACAAAAAACCUGACAUUCUUUUCUGAGAUUAUCGUCGGGGCGACAGAGCAAUCCAUUCUUAACCAGCACCUCCCAGAUUUUCUACAGAGGCAUCCUUAUUUGUGAAACACAUCUUCUACCUUGCCAUUCAUCUUCUUUCCUCACUGUGCUUACAUUCAUUUCAGUAUGAUUAGGGAACGAGUUCCCAGUUGCAUUACUGGCACUAUCGAAUCGUAGGAUACCCGCAUCAAUUAGUCCUUGAACUCUCCUCUUAAAGGCUAGGCAAUUUUCCGUGGAAUGUCCCUGGUUUCUCGUAUGGUAUGCACAACUAGUGUUUGGGUCGUACCAUUUCGGGUAUGGGGGCCUCAAGGGUGCCAUAUAAUGCAGGGAUAUCAAUUGCUUCUCCAAAAGUUUUGGGUGCAGUUCCCCAUAUGACACAAGAAUAGGGGUAAAUUGUAGUCUCUCGGAAUUGGGUUUUGCUGGCCUCUGCUCGUUUUUGGGUUGACCUUGGGCAGGUAUUGUAUUUUGUGGGAAUGUGGCGGUUGAUCUCGGGUUACUUGUGGCGUAAACAGGGUAAGAAGAGUAAGGAGGCGGUGCUUAGUAGUAAGAGGUUUGAGGAGGACAAUAGAAAUUUGAAGGUGGAUAAUUUUGAGGUCGGGGUUGGUUUGGAUACGGAUUAGGGGUAUAACGGCUUCUUAUUCCCACCAUAUGGGCUUCUAGUUCUUUCUUCUUCAUGGGCGCUACCCUUCUUGAACUUUCUUGACCUUCCAUUCUACCGCUCUUGACGGCGUUCUCUAUAAGCUCACCGGAUAUUAUAAUAUCCGCGAAGUCCUUCGUGGCGUUUCCCACUAGUUUGUAAUAAAACGGCGUCUUUAAGGUGUUGAUAAAAAAGACGGUUAUCUCCGUUUUCAUCAGUGGGGGUUCCACUUAGGCUGAGACGUCCCUCCAUCUCUGUACAUACUGUCUAAAAGUUUCUGACGGCUUUUUCUCCAUCAUUGGUAAAGUCAUCUGAUCAGGGACCAUAUCUGAUACAUGCUUGUACUGCUCACAGAAUGCCAACGCCAAGUCUUUCCAAGAUCGGAUCCUUUCCUUACUGAGCUGGUUGUACCAUCGAAGAGCCGAUCCUACCAGACUAUCUUGAAAAUAAUGUACAAGUAGCUUAUCUUCAUUUACGUAACCGGUCAUUUUUCGGCAAAACAUGACAAGAUGUGCUUUUAGACAUAUUGUUCCAUCGUAUUUUUUGAAAUCGGGCACCUUGAACUUCGGAGGCAGAAUUAGAUCAGGUACCAAACUGAGUUCUUUAGCACCUAGUACCGAGAAGGCUUCAGUGCCUUCUAUUGCCUUGAGUUUUUCUUUCAAACUCCUAUACUUCUCUUGAGCCUCGUGAUCAUCUAUUUUCAACUUGGCUAUUUCGAUCGGAUUAUCUAAAUCUGGAACUACAGGAUUGGCAGGGGUUGCUCUGGGAUUUGACAUAAAUGUUCCUUACCCUAGAUGAGCAAAUGGCAUAGGUCGUUAUUCCAAGCCUGUGGAAUCCCCUUGAGUAUACCCUCUUUGUGCUACAUGGGCAUGCGGUGGAGUGAAUACUGGGGGAUAGAGUGGAUCUUGGUAAUGAUUAAUUCUCGAUUGAGGUUCCAUACUGUCGGGGUUCUGCAUGGGUCCUUUUCCUUUGACCAAAACUGACAUCAUCUCCAUCAUUCUAGCCAUUUGAUCCUUUUAUUCAAGUGAUUCCUCUCGAGAUCUUACUAUCAAAUCCCUCGUUUCUUAUUGUGACUUAACCAGUUGUUCUUGUAAUUCCUUCUGGACUCUUUCCAUCCUUUCAAUUCUUUCAUUGAACUCAGCCUCCAUUGCUCUAGCUUGUCGACGCGUUUUAUACGAAUGGCGUGGUUCCAGAUUUGAAGUGUUGCAACUGCGAAUUAUAUGAUUCUAACCUUAGCGAAUGAUUAUGGGAUAUGUAUAUGCAAUGAAUGAAUGAAUAAAUGUUGAAUGAAUGUCAGUCAUGAAAGAAGUGCGAGAAAUUGGUGUUGAUCUCGAGAUAGUCCCUAUUAGGCAUUUCAUUCAUCAAAAGAGUUCAUUACAAAACAUUUCGCCAUUUUGAUUCAGCCAUUACACAAACUUCCUAGCUAUAUCGCUAUAUUUCUUUACUCGCUCUAAGAACUCCGAUAUGCUCGAUUGUUGGCUUGGCGGGAAUUGGCAACUGAGAUCCUCUGCUUCAUCUGAUAGUUGUACCAUGUGCACAGUCGCUUCACGGAUUUUAUUGAUCAAAAAGCCAAGUUGCAGUUCUCUUUCUUGGAGGUUCGUUUUAUAAGCGUGAGUGUCUCUAUCAUAUUGAUCAUUCUUUUCUUCCAAGGCUUUUAAAAAGUAUCCAAUUGCUACUGACGAGCUCGCAACGCAUCUUAUAGAUCCCGUACUCUUUCUCUUAAGCUUUGACGUUCAGAUUGACUGAUUGUCCAUUUGGUAGACAUAGCUUCGUGUUCAGCGCUUUUCUUUCUCAAUUCUAUCAUAACCCGCGCAGCCUUUUCCUCUUCCUUCUCUGCCAUCUUUUUCUAAAAUUCCAUCCCACCUUUACUAUUGUUUAAUUCUUCUCUCUAUUUUGUUGACGACUUACCCAACCCACUAUUCUUGAUAGUGACUCUUAACUUUUUAUUUUCCAGAUGAAGGUCCCUUAAGUCAUUUCUUACGACUUCAACUUCUUUUUGUACUUUAUCAGUUUUAGACCUUUCGAUCUGGACGUCGAUCUUCAACUGGUAAUUUUCUUUUUGAAGAAUACUAAUGUCCCGCAACAUUUUGACCUUUUCGCGCUCAAAUUCUUGUCUUGCUAAUUCUAGCUCGGAUGGCACUUCUGUCGAGAAAGGAUUCUGGACGGUGUAAUUUGUCGACGAGAUUUGCUGGGUGUUCACCCGUUGCUUUCUCCAUAUGUCGUAAUCUUGGGUGAGGGUAUCAGCAUAUAGAGCUAAUUCCAUGUGAUGAAUGCUCUUCCAAGACUUUGCAAUAUCUCGGACCCUCUUCAUAUAUUCUUCACCCGCAAAAGCAAACUCUGAUUGUGCUAAUCCUCCGGUGGCGGGUAAGAAUUGUCGUGAAGAAAAUUGCCUUUGGACCAUUAACGGAGCAUAUCAUACUCCUCCCCAUAACCCGAGUAGUGGCACCCAAUCUUGAUCUCUGACCUUGUAUAGCAGAACUGACGGGCGUAUCCACGGGGCUCUCCAAGUUACGUCAUCGGCGCGAAGAUUCUGAAAGACUGAGACCCAAUAUUAUUCGGGGACCUCCUUCGGCCAUUCUUUCUUGAGAUAAGCUUCUAACAGGGAGAAUGUUUUAGAAAACAUAUGGAACGGUGUGCGCUCUACUUUCCAGAAGUGGCUCAGAAUCCAAACAUUGAGUAACUGCGCGCAUCCGAUAAAACGACCUUCCCCUUUCUUCCUACAGCUACUUAGUGAUCUAAAGGUUUCGGCCAGGAUAGUUGGGACGGGGUUGAUUCCUUGUUUUAAUCUUUCGAAGAAAUCUACAACCGCAACUUCUAUGUGUCCAAGGACCUUCGGGAAGAUGAUCAAACCGUAAAUGGCCAGAGCGAACAAAUUUACACUUUUUAACAUGUCGGGAUGGUUCAGAACCAAGUCUCGUAGGGAAGACCAUGGGAUGCAAAUAGUUUCAUUCUUCUUCUUUAUCUGUUUUUCGGCCCACGCAUCAGUCAUGUCUGUCAAUCUCACUAACUUUUUCUUGAAGGUCAUUGGCCUAGGUUCUUUCACAUAUAUCUUAUAGGGUUGUACGUUUUUGACACGAAGCAAAGCAGCGUACUCUUCUAUAGUCGGGGUCAUGUCUUCCUGAUUGAAAGUAAAAUAUUGGUAGGCUGGAUCCCAAAAUCUGACUAUGGCUUGGAUCAAUCGUUCGUCUACGUUGACAGUAAUCAAGUUGGCUAUGUCCCCAUAUUUUUCAGUGAAGAUACCUCUAGCAUCCAAGUCCCACUGAUUCCAAACCUGAACCAAAUCUUGAAGGUUAUUCUAGCGAACAUUUACAGUUACGUGCUCGGGCAAAUUGGCAAUACAUCCCUCUACUAGACUAUCCCCUCUUUCUUUCUAAGUCUUUAGAGACCAGUCUCGUACCGCAGCAUUCCUCUCGGUUGUUUGUAUAAUUGAUUCUUCCAUUAGAAACCCAUUUUUUGGCAACCGAUCUCUAGUCAACACCUUCCUAAUAUGAUGCCUAUAAUGCAUGAUAAGAAUAAAAACAAACAAACUUUGGUUAGCACAACACAUAUGAACAAAGAAAAACUGUAGACAAUCUAAUAAAUUAAGCUACUUGGUCCAAUGGACUCGAUUCCCUUGCAUAGAAAGCGUAAAUGUAAAAGAAACAGAAGGUAAGAGUUGUUUUUCCCGUGUACUUAUUUUGGUGACUAGUAAACUGACGGAGUUUGGCACGGCUCUAGUUGGAUAGCUCGUAUGGUUCACUAUAUACGGUUUUGGUUCUAGAUGGGUACUCGAAUCAUCUGUACUGUCAUCUACUAAGAUUAGUACAGAGCCUCGGUCAUGGCCCAUCAUAGGCUUACAAGAUCAAUUCGAGGGAUUACAUUUACUUAUGCCUAUGCGAAGGGACAAGUUAACUCACGAAAGCAUAAGUCAUAUGUAACCCGAAAGUAUUCACUAGCCUGUACGGAGGGAUAAGUUAACUCACGAAGGCGUAGCGUUUACUUUCACUUAACAGGGACGGAGCCCGGGUAUAGAGCUCAUGUCAUGCAACAAAAAUGCAUGUGCACAGUGUGUGGGGAGAAACUUGUAAACCUUUUCUAUUUAUUUAAAAAUAAAAACUAGAAUCGUAAAAACUUAGAGCUGAAAAACGGAUGAUAAACAAGUUAGGAAAAUAUUUACAACACAAUACAAAUGAUUCUUCGAAAUUUAAAAUUUUAAGGAUCACGACUAAAUAUGUUUUUGAACAAGGAAUUUUUGCAAAUUUUAACAACACAUGCUCAACUCGACUCGACUCUCAAAAAGCGUCCCCAGUGGAGUCGCCAGCUGUAGCGACGUAAAAUUUGCUUUCGGUCGCUAAUUGUGGCGAUUUAUUAUAAACUUGAAAACUGAAGUUUGAUUGCUAAAUAAACAGAGAGUCGCCACCGAUCCUUUUUGUAGAUGUGAUCGGACACCUAAUAAAUCAUCUUUUUUGAAAAGAAAAUUUAUUCUCGAACAAAAACGAAGGCUUAAUUUAGGUCUACGUGAAAAGCUAGAGAAAGAAUUAGGGUUCGGGAGUCGGUUACGCACGAGGAAGGUAUUAGCAUCCUCGCGACGCCCAAAAUUGGUAUCUUAUAAAACACGUGUUGUCUUGACUUUCAAAAAUACGAGUUCAAUGUAACAUUUAGUCGUAAUCCAGUUGAAACACAAGAAUUUUCACUUUUUUCAAUUUUUUCGAUUUUUGAGAAAGACAUACCGUUUUAACACGAGUCACUUGAUAUUCACCCAACACAGCGAUGAAAUCGAUGACAUAGUGUUUAAAUCGGUACAUUGCCUUGCUUAUUGAAAUAAAUAAAAACACGAAUAAACGUUUUAAAAUAAUGAACAACGAGGUAAUAUAUAAAAAUGGGCGGGAAACGAAAGAAAAUAGUUGGAAAUACAUCAAGGCACAUAAUACAUACGACAAUAAUAUUAAAAAACAAUGACAAUGCACACGAUAUUAAAUGUAACAAUAGUAUCAAAUACGAGAACACAAUGAAUAUACAUAUGUAAAAGAAUGACAUUAAGAGUAUGUACAUAAUAUAUACUUAUGCAUAUAUAUGUAUAAUUAGUAAUAAUGUUGGAAAUAUACUACAUAUAAUAUUUGAAAUAUACAUGAAGUGAUAAAAAAUAUACAUAACUAUUAGUGUUAAAGUAUAUACAUAUGAAAGACGUUUACAUAGUAAUACUAAAUAUAAGUACUAAUAUAUAUAUACAUAUAUUUAAAAAAUACAUAAUAAUAUUAAAGAAUAAGUACAUACUAUACAUACACAUAUAAUAAGAAAAUACAUACCAUAUAUAAUAUUAAGAAUAUAUAUAUGAAUAGUAAUAGCGUUAGAAAUAUACUAUAUACAGUGUUCGAAAUAUAUACCUAAUAUAGUAAAAAUAUGACUAAUAAUGUUAAAAUAUAUACGUGAUAUAUACAUAUAUAUAAAAUAAAUAUUGAAAAAUACAUGUACAUAACAUAUAUGAAAAAUAUAUACAUAAUAAUAUUAAAAUAAAAUGAUAAGUAAAAAUAAUGAAAAUAAUAGGUAUAAUAAUAAAUAUAAGGACGUAUAAUACUAUAUAUAAAAGUAUAUAUAUAUUCAUAUAAUAAAAUGUAUGUACUAGUGUUAGCAAUAAAAUAAUAGGGAUAAAAAAUAGAUAUAAUAAUAUAUACAUAAUAUACAAAAAUAUAACAUUAAAAAUAUAUAUAUGUAAUAUACAAGAAAUAUACAUAUAUAAUAGUAUUAAGACUAUAAACAUAAGAUAGUAUAUAUACAAAAAUAAGUAAUAAAAUAAUAUGUACAUAAAAUACGUAUAUACACAUAUGUGAAUAAGUAAUAACAUCAUUAAAAAUAAGUAAUAAUAAUGAAAAUAAUAAGAUCAAUAAUAAACAGUAAUGAUAAAUGUAUUAUAAAAGGAUGAAAAAUAAUAAUUAUAUAUAUAAUAGAAAUAAGUGUAAUAAUAAUGAUAAAAAUAAUAAAAUAUUCCUAAAGAUAAUACUAAUAAUAACAGGUAGUAUAAUAAUAAAUAUAUAUGUAAAAGAAUAACAUAAUUAAUAAACAAAAUACUAAAAUGAUAAGCAGGGAUUAAAUUGAAAGCAAAUAGAAAGUUUGAGACAAAUUUUAAAGAAACAAAAACAAAUGAAAGGGACUUAUUUGGACACGCGCUAAACUUAGGGGGUCCAAAACACAAUUUUCCAGCUAUUAAAACGCUGCGCAGCGUGGGGGACCAAAAUGAACUCGGAACAAAACAACAGGGCCGAAUUAUAAUUAAAAGAAAACUUGAUUGCAAUUCGUAAAAAUAGCGGAAGGGCUAAAGGUGCAAUUAGCCCUUCCGUAGAAAACACGCGGAUCCUCCUUGGAGCGGGUCGGACAAUCGGGUCGGAGGCUCAAAACGGCGUCGUUUUGGGGCUUAAGUACAGCCCCCAAAACGACGCCGUUUCGGAGGGCUAUAAAUAAGCCCAAUUUUAGAAAAAAAAUUCAUUUGUGAGUGGAGAAAGAAAAAAAAAGGGAGAGAAGAAGAGAGAGAAAGAGAGAAGAGGGAGAAGGGAGGACUCUGGCCAGGGGGCCGAUCACCGGGCCGUCGCCGGCACCGGCGCCAAAAUUCUAUUUUUUUUGUUUUUUUUUUUAUUUUUUAUUUUUGAUUUUUGUUUUUUAUUUUUUUGGUAUUUGUUAAUAUAUUUUUUGUGUAUCUAUAAGAAAAAUGAAACACUUAUCAAUAUAUGCGUGAUUUCAAAGAAAAGAAAGAAAUAAUAAACCUUUCGUGUCUGCGAUUUGUUGCUGAAUCUGAUUUUUAAUAUUGUGGAGAUUAUUCUUUCUAUAUUCUGGAAACACACUGUUUUUGUAUUGAUAGCAAUAGCCGAAUUGAUCUAGCUGAAAAAAAAAAAAGAAAAGAGCCCCCAUUACAGUUUUUGAUUUGGGUUUUUAUAACCCUUUUUCACCUUUAUUUUUAUUGCUUCUGUCUUGUCUGAUUGCAGGGAAUGGGCACGGACGGUGGGGUGUGUGAUGGCUCAGCACGCGCGGGGCGUGAUGGCCGACAUGGUGGAGCAGUGUCAGGCGCACAUGGGGCAACGACGCCAGAAACCCUUUCCAAAAUUUUUUAGAGUUUUGGGCCUAUCGGGCUUCACUGUUUUGGGUUGGUGUUGGGUUUAAGUGUUUAGGUUAGUUUAGGUUUUGGGUUGUAAAUGGGUUUUGGGUAUUUGUAUUUGAGCCUCGGCAAUUUAAAUGUGUCAUUUGGUUUUAAUUGUAAACUGGCCAAAAUUGACCUACAACAACGUAUAUUGCUUAAAUCCAUAAUUUAGGCAGGAGUAAUAAUAAAUUUUAACCUUUUUUAUUUAUAUUUACAAAUUUGAGUUUUAACAAAAUAUUUAUGUAUUAUUGUCUACCAAAAAGGACAACUAAAAAAUAUAUAUCAAAUCAUUUAUUUACUACCCUUGCUUUCUAUUUAAAAUUAAUUAAAAACGAAUCGAAGAAAAAUUUUAAUGCAACUAACCAUUAUAAAAAGGAAAAUAAAUGGCAGAUUUUUUUUCCGAAAAAUUUUUAAUCCUUUUUCCCUUUUUCUUUUAAUAAAAAUAUGGAAGAGUAUCAAUUACAAAAUAAUAUCAAUAUCAACAAAAUUAGAUAUCAAGAGUCUAUCUAAUCAUAUCUGAUCAACAACUUUUAAAGGAGUUGCAUAGAACAUUUUGGGAUCAACGGGCAAUUCCUUCAUCAAUCCAGCCAGAAUAUAAAGAGCAAAAUUCACAUCCUUUAGUAUUUGUUUAAUUUCCACACACCAAUCACAUCUGCAUAGUUAUUGAAUUCUUAAAAUCAAAUCUCUAUUUGGCUGACCUUUGAUGCUUCCCUAAAUCUCCUUGAUGACUAGAGCAUAAUCAAUCUCGAGAAUAAUUAUAUCCCAAUUAGCAUCCGAAGGUCAUCAUAGAUAGUCUAAAAAUUUUGCUUACUCUACACUACAUCUUUCAAUGUUACAUCCUAUCUUUAGAUCCAUUUACCGUACUCAUCUCUUGCUACUACUGUCGAAAAAGUCAAUUUUUAAUACGGAAUGUGAGCUCCAUCAACAUUCAACUUAAAAGAACUAAGAGGUGAUAGACUUUAUACUUAAUUCUUGAUACUAUUCAUGAAGGAGUAACUAAAAUUAACUUUACAUUUGCUUAAUAGAUCUCACAGAAUACCUUUAACGUUAAAUACCAUUUUUUUUUUAAAUGUGGCACAUGCAUCACUUAGAGCACGUUUGGUUCGCUGUAUUGGAUUAGAGGUGUAAUGGAAUAGAGGUGUAAUGGAAUAGAGGUGUAAUAGCAAAUCAACUGUUUGGUUGAAUGUAAUGGAAUAGAGGCGUAAUAGUAAUCUUAUGUUUGGUUGAAUGGAAUAGAGGUGUAAUAGCAUAAUGGAAAAAACUAAAAUGACUAGAAUACCCUUAGCAUAAAUUUGUUUGGGUAAAUGAUUAUUGUUAUUGUUAUUUAAAUUUUAAUAAGAUUAUUAAUAUCAAUAAUAGAGCAUUUAAUUAUAUUUAAACAUAAUAAUUAUUAAAUAUAUUAUAAUUAAAAUAUAUAAUUUAAUAAAAUUCUUAAUAAUCAAUAUCUUAUAUGAAUUUACUCAAAUCAUAAUAUAUGAUACUAUAAAAUAUAAUUUAACAUAAUUAUUAUUAAAUAUAUUAUAAUUAAAAUAUAUAAUUUAGUAAAAUUCUUAAAAAUUAAUAUUCUUAUAUGAAUUUACUCAAAUCAUAAUAUAUGAUACUAUAAAAGAUAAUUUAACAUAAUUAUUAUUAAAUAUAUUUUAAUUAAAAUAUAUAAUUUAAUAAAAUUCUUAAUAAUCAAAAUUCUUAUAUGAAUUUACUAAAAUCAUAAUAUAUGAUACUAUAAAAUAUAAUUUGAAUUAAUUAAUAUUAAAAAUAUUUUAAUUAAAAUAUAUAAUUUAAUAAAAUUCUUAAUAAUCAACAUUCUUAUAUGAAUUUAUUAAAAUCAUAAUAUAUGAUACUAUAAAAUAUAAUUUGAAGUAAUUAAUAUUAAAAAUAUUUUAAUUAAAAUAUAUGAUUUAAUAAAAUUUAAAAUAAUUAUAACUAAUAAAUUUUCUUAUAUGAAUUUGUAUAAUUUAAAAUAAUUAUUAUUAAAUAUAAUUUAAUAAUAAUAUAUAAUUUCAUAAAAUUCGUGAUAAUAAAUUUUCUUAUAUGAAUUUAUACAAUUUAAAAUAAUUAAUAUUAAAUAUAAUUUAAUAAUAAAAUGUUCUUAUAUGAAUUUACUAAAAUCAAAAAAUAACUUGAGAAUUAUAUUCUGCAUAAACAUAAUUAACUUAUAUUAAGAAAAGGUUAGAUGAAAAUAAAAUUCUAUAUCAUAAUCCAUAUGUUAUAUAGUUUUACAACAUCAUAACAAAUUUUCUUAUAUGAAUUUAUACAAUUUAAAAAGUUUGAAGUACGCAAUUCCAAGGAAAAAGUGGAGGGGAUGAUAUCACUUUCCUCUCUUUUUGGAUUGCUAUUUGUUAAUGACAAAUGCAACAUCAGAUUUCAGCUACUCCAACAUAAAUAGAACAGGGUAAAAAUUUUAUAAGAAACCAAAUCAAACAAAUUUCCAUAAUUAACUCCAGUAGUUGAUCUAUAAGCCAGAUCUCCUUCCAGGCAUAAGAGUAAAUUUCUAACGCCAAUAACUAAUUUAACUUUACAAAUCCAUUGGCAUGAACUAAUCAAAUUUGUGUUAAAAAUAGAUACAGAUUCGUUUUCUACAAAGAUAUACAGAAGCAAUGCAUUAAAGCAAGCCAGCCAUUACUGAAUACAACUGCCUCCAAGACUCAACAACCAAAAAUACUAAGAAGGGGGAGAGCGAAGAACCACCACAGAGGAAAUGAGGCAGUAUCAUGCAUCUAGCAACAACCACGAACAAGAUUUUGUCUAAAACUUCUGCAUGAUGGGUAGAAAGAUUCCUAAAAACCUGAUUGUCAAGAAGGUGACAUAGACCUCUGGAGUUGUAAUCUGAAAAGAUUCUUAUCAUUUUAUGAAAAUAAGUGGUACCAAAGGUGUUUGAGGAAGAAGUGAGGUGUAAGUCAAUUCAUUCCAUGUUUUCCCCUCAAUGAAGGGAACAGAUAAAUCAAUUGUGUGAAAAAUACUUGAAAAUAUAAACUCCAUAUACUACCUUCUCUCCAUAUUUGAUUCAGGAAGCAUAUAAGACACAACAAACAUUACUUCAAGAUGCACCAAAUACAGUUAACACAAUCUCCAAACUAUUCAAAUAUACAAUAUGGUUUUAUUAACAAGAUACUAAACCACUAGACCACUGCAAAAGAGCAUGUAUAAUAUGAUCUUAUUAAAAAAGUACAAAAGAGCUACCUCUCAUUGUGAAGAGCAAAGAGAACGAAUCAAAUAAAUUGACUUCGGAAAGCAGCCAACCAAGAUGGCUACAUUGUCAACUUAUAAAUACAGAGAACAAGGUUCACAAUGUUUUGCACAGACAAAUAGAACAAUAUAUAAUAUGAACUCCCACAGAGCUUUAUUCUACAAAUAAAACUCGCAUGCCAACCACUAAUUGAAUGCAGUGGAAUCUAUCUGUUAAAGAACAUGGAGAAAAGAUCCAACAAUAAUCCAAAAGGCUAUUUUUUAGCAUGACGCCUGGAAGGGAGACAUUUAUUUUCCGAUCAAAUAGUCACCGGUUGUGCUAUGCUGCAGAAACUUGCAAGAACAAUCGAAACAGGAAAAAAAAACUGAAAGAAACAAGAAUAUUAACCUCCUCUUGAUCAAACAAAAACUCCUCUUCAUCAAGUCCAGCUGCAGGUAAAUCCUCAUCCUCAUCAUCUAGCCCCCCCAAUUCAACUUCCUCGAGAACAUCGUUUCCAAAAAAUGCAUAUUGUGAUGCAUCAAAUACUGCACCUCCUGCAUAAUAGAAAGGUUAACUUUACUGAAAUGAGCUAUUCAUAAAGAAGAAAACAACACAGAAUCAUUAAAAAAAAGAACUUUCUCCAAUUCAAUGGGCAGGAAUGGGGUAAUUGAGAUGGGCGCAAGUUAACACCCUUUGUGUAUCCAAGGGCCUGAUAUUUCUCAAAAUGUACAAAAAACAGCUUCUCCAAUUCAAUCAUAAUUCAAAUAAAUCGUGCUUAUUUCCAUCACUAAAAAUAUUCGAAACCAAAGUCAAUUCAACUGAAAGUCUGAAACACCAGCCCACUGAAAUCAUUAACUGGCGUGAUUUAGUAGCCAAAUUCAAACUUAUAAUUACUAAUCUGGAAAAUGUCCAGGCCAACAUGAAACAAAGUCGCUACUUAAAAACUAGAAAUUGUUCACAUAUGGAAACGACAUUUGACUUCUAACUGAAUCAAACAGUGUUACCACAAUUAUUUAGCAACAAAAGCCUGCCCUUAGCAUUGAAAACACAAUAUUUAAGGAUCUAAUUUCAUUUCCUUCUAACUUGAAAAAGAGUGUUAUAUUGAGUUUACCAGUGGUUUGAACUCUAAUAUUAACUCGAGCCUCUGAAGGAUGAGGAAUACUGUAGCCACAGAAUGUAACUGUUGGGCUGCACAACAUAAAAAGGAUAGCUUCCACUUUCAAUACAAUCACUUAAAACAAAGAAAACACAGCAUGAAUCAAAGCUAAAAACAUAUGUGAGUGAACUGACUCUUGAUUCAAAGUGAAUCUAACAGCGUUAGCUAUGGUAUGAUCCUCAUCAGUUAAAGAAAAAGUGGCAGCACUAUUAUCAGUGAAAAACCUGUGUUCCAUUGUUUCCUUUAAUCCAAUUUCUAAAUCUCCAAACCAAGAAACAAAACUAUUAAAAGGAUGAAAUUUAAUCCAAUAAUCAUUGGGAAAACAUAUUUUUAAAUAAAAAAUAAGGUUGUAUCUUCCUUACCGGUUCCAAUGGACAGAACACAGUUUCACCGAUGGAGAGGAACGGAAAACGUGAGAAGGGGGCUGCUUUCUGAUCGGUGUUCGAAGUCCAGUUGUGACGCCAAAGAGAGGUAAGAUAGAAAGGUAGAAGUGUGAAUCGGUGGAGAUAGAAAGGUAAGACAAAAAGGUGAGGAGAGUGGAGAAGAAAGGUAGAAGGAAGAAACAGGGGUAAGACAGAAGCGUGAAUCAGGGGGUAAAACAGGGACCAAAACACAAUCCGGACCUAAACUGAGCACAACGGAGGGAUUGGAAAUCGGUGGAAUUUGGGGAUUAGAUCAGUAAUGUAAUAGACCCGUAUUAGGCUAAUACACCCAACCAAACAAUGUAUUGAGUGGGGCCCACGAUUAGGGGUGUAAUGGCUAUGCCAAUACACCCAACCAAACAAGCUCUUAGAUUUCCCUUGCCUGUAACAUGAAGAACCAAGGUAAUAUAUAUAUAUAUACAUAUAUAUUAAGUUUUGAAGUGAGUUAAUUAAUGAGAAAGACAAAGGGGUCCAAACUUCAAACAAACAAAUAUAUGGGGUCGACUGAUGCUACAACCAAAAAUAUAUAUCAAAGAAAUUUAAUUUACCCUUUGACGACAUAUUGCUCCAUAAAUAUUUAUUUUUUCAACAAUUUCUUUUAUGUUAAUUUCGAUGACAUAAGGGUGAUGAAAUACAUUGCCUUCAUUUGACAAUUUGCAAGGUCUUCUCCGUCGUCUUCUUUUUUUUCGAAUUUCAUCUUGUAAUUACAGAUUUUAUUAGUAUAUGCCACAAAUCGACCAAUGUGGUUAAAAAUGCUUAUAUCAUCAAGAAUUAGGUACCAUAAUUGAAAAGCACCAUUAAUUACAUUAUAUAUAUACAUAAAGAGGUUUUUUUUUUAAUGCAACUUUAGGAGAAAAAUGCAAAACAAUUAUUUUUUUUAGGUUAAUAAAGUUGUUGAUUAAUUGGUCUUGUGCUGUAAUGAAAGGGCAGCUUACAAGUAGAACAAAUCUGAGUUCAUUUUAGUUGUCUUUGCAUCAUAAGCAAAUGCUAAAACCCAUUAUUUCUUUAAUUGUGUUUAAUUAACUUAAUAUUAGUUUGUUUACCCAAAAUCGCUUUGUGGCGUCUGUGUUUUACAUUUGCCUUCUUUUUCUUUUUUAUUUAAAGAAUAAUUACUUCUUUAGCAUAAGUAUUCAGAAUGAUUAUGUUUGAUGCUCCUCAAUAUAGAUUUUAAAUACCAUGUCGGUAUGGGAAAUAUGGGCUUUGUACUUUAUAAAUUUUUAAUUUACUCCAACAUAGAUUAUAUAGUGGGAAAAGGAUGGGAUUAAAUUUAAAUAAAAAUUGGGCUGUAAUUAUGAUAAUGCUUAAUAUUUUUAUUUCAAUUUUUUUAAUUUGAGUAAAUACACCAUUAGUCACAAAUUAUGGGUAAAUUUUUAUUUUGAUCAUUUAAUUAAAAAAUUUACAAUUUGGUCACUAAACUAUUCGAAAAGUUCAUAUAAAUCACUGAACUAUUUAAAAGUUUUUAUUUAAGCUACUAAACUAAAAAAAGUUCCACCAGCAAGCUCCGAUGGAUCAAUAUCAAUCGACGAGUAGAAGAACAUAAUUUAGAUCCAAGCCGAUCUGACAAUCAGUGUUGGAGAUCAAAGAAAAAAAUAGCUCGAAUUUUAUUUUGUAAAUUCAUGACAUCUAAAGCCAUUUUAAUGAAAAAAAUUUAAACUAUAGAAGUGAAGAGGAAAGAAAGCUUUCGAUUGGUGUAGACAAUGCAAAUAGAGAAAACUAUAUAAAAUCAAUUUUAACAGCCAAUGAAUUAAAUAAAAAAAAUUGAAAUUUCAGUGGCUAAAUUGUAACUUUUUUAGUUAAAAAGACCAAAACGAAAAUUUAUACAAAAUUUAGUGAUUAAUGGUAUAAUUUUACCUGAAAUUUUAAAGGGAUAAUCAGACUCAUUACAAGGAACUGACAAAAAAGCUCUAAAAAUAUUGCAAAAAUCUUAAUUGCAGUUGACUGGCAAAAACUGAAAGUGAAAUGGGCUGAUCCAAACCCUUCUCUGAAACCAGUAAAAGUCAUUAUUCCUGAAAGUUGGUCCCAAAAUUCGCCCCUAAAUGAGGGCUAAAGUGUCAUAGUAUAGCUGCCAUAAAGGAAAAGGGCAAACCAAGGCUAAAAAUUAUAUAUAUAUAUUGGUAAUACAGCUCUAUGGCUAUACCAAUAUACAGAUACUGACCACUGCACAGUGAACCUCUACUAUAUAUGAUUUUGAAAAUUUAUUGUUCUAUGUUGGAUUAAGGGACCACUGUUUCAAUAUUUAUGACUUUUGUUCUUUAACCAAACUUGCUCGACAUUCAUUAUGGAUGGUGCAACAAUUUUUUUUUUGGAUUUUUUAAAAUAUAUUGAUUUUCCAUUGCAUACCACUAUUGUGAAUUUUGUUUGGGUGGGGCACUAAAGAUUUGGAAGAAAAUUUUCAAAUAUUUGGAGUUGAGUUUAAAAUUAUGACUUAGCAUUAUGUGGAAAAUUUUUAAAGUUCUAACUUUAUUUAAAAAUUUGACCUUCAAAAUAACAAACAUAAGAAUGCAAAAGAAAGAAAAGGAAAAUUGGCUCCAAUGAUUGAAUUUUUGUAUUUUAAUUAUUUUAAUUUUGAGAUUUUAAUCUUAAUCUUAGCAGUAAUUAUUAAAUUAAUUAAGAAAAAAAUCUUAUAUAGCAACCUAAAAAAAAUAUUAUAUAGCAAAAAUAUUAUAUACUAUCUACAUUCAUUACUUGCAAAAAAAUUAUUUUAUUUAGUUAAUGAAUUUAACGACUACUGUUCGAAUUAGGAUUACAAUUUCAAAUUUAAAAAAAUAUUAAAACUAAAAAUAAUGAAAUUGGAGAAUAUGGAUUCAAUACUCCAACUUACACAUAGUACAUGAUUAAUAACAUAUUUUGACAUGAAUGAACUUAAUUGCUAUUAUUUUGGUCAAAAUUAAAAUUUUAAAUUUUAAAAAUAUAGUGAUUAAAUCUAUAAUUUACAUAUAAUAUAAAAAUUAAAUAUACAAUUUACAAAUAAUAAAAUGACUAAUAACAGAAUUUGACUUAAUCUUAUCCACAUAACAUAUUCCUUAAAUUCCAUUUUCCCUCCACAAUUGAGGAUUGUGGUGUAUCUAAAAUCCAAAGAGAAGUAAAAACAACUCUUUAUUAGUGAGUGGCAAAUUGAAAACAUACUAUAUAACCAUUCUUCAUUAAAAAGUGAUAAAUAAUCUUGGAUUAAAAAAAAAAGAGAGAGGCUAAAACCAAUAUAUAUGUGAAAACAAAUAUAGUUAAAAAUGAGAUAUAUAUAUAUAUAUAUAUAUAUAUAUAAAUAGAAUCCCAUACGAAUGGGGCCUAGAGUGGAUUAGAUAUGACACUGAAAGUGUGCCCACAAUGAAUGUAGAGAGCGGAAGAAGUUUGUUUUUGCAGUGAAAGUUUUGAUUCUUUCGCAGCAAAUGCAAAAGCCCCCACUCCUAUCGUAUGUUAUCGCUUCCCUCAUUUCCCCUUUUUUCUUGUGAGUGCCAUUAUACCUCCAAACAAGAGAUGCCAUUGUCCUUUCAUCACUCUCUUAAAUUAUUGCACCAUCCCCUUACCCAGCUCCUUCCUAGCUACUCACUUUAUCAUCAAGUAUAAUAUCCAUUCUUUUUAUACAUCAAAAUAAGAAUCGAACUUUGGUAUUUAACGAAUACUUAAUUAAUUAAAUCAAAAUUCCAUAGCAUAGAGAAUAAGCCUAAAAUAGUUUCAAGUAUCCCACCACAAUCCCUUUACCUCUUCUUAUGUGGGUUUAAAUUAGCUUGGAAAUUGUUUAUUUUCUAAGUCAGUCUCUCUCUCUGUCUUUCCCCUUUACAAUAAUCUCAUCAACCAAUUAAAGAUGGGUGAUCCAAUUAGCUUGAGUUAGGUGUCAAUUCAUGACAAUAAACAUUAGAUCACUAAUCCUCCAUUUCCUCUCAUUGUUAGUUCAUAACAAACCCAUGAAUAAUAAGAUGAUAUACUAUAUUGUUUUAUUGCAUGUUAUGCUGAUCUUGUAAUUAUUGUGGUAGGUUAUAGAUUACGAGCACUUAUUCAAAACUUUUUCAUCCCUUUUAAUAAAGUUACAUACAAUUACCCAUGUUUAGAAUUCAAUGAAAAGAAAAAUGAAAAUCAUUUUACUUUUGGUGAAGGCAUUAGGGGUAGAUCACUAAAUUAAUUAAGAGUGAAGGGUUAAUUAUUGUACAUAUAGGGACAUGAAAAAUGACAAAUAAAAUAAGGGAGAAUAUAUAUAUAGUUGAAGGGUUGAAAUAUAUGUAGGAUGGAAUUGGGCAGUGAUUUAGAUGGUGAAGAAAGGCAUGGAGUAGUGGGUAAGACUGUUGGGAAGUGGUGGAGUUGAUGGUGCCAAAUGCCAAUGUAAAAAGGAAACAAUGCCCAAGGAAUUAUAUUUGUUAAGUGCAAAGAAAGUAUGGGAAAGGGAGGAAAAUAAACAAGAAAACCUUUUUUUUUAUUUAAUAAAAAAUAAAUUAGUUUUUGUGUGGGACAAGGGGAAAAUGAAUGGGAAUGGUUGAAUCAGCAUUAAAGAAAGUAAAGUUGGCAUUGUCUUGAAGCCAAGAAAAUGUGCCUGAUUUCAUGAUACUUCUUGGAAAUGAUUAUUCACAUCAAAGCUUGCCAAGUUUUUAUCCCAUGAAUACCACAAUACAGAAACUGCCUCCAUUUUAAUAUUCAUACGGGAGCUGUUUAAGGGGUAGAUCUAAACUGUUGUUAAUAGAAAAUUUUGAAUUUAGGUUCUUAGUCAUGUCAGUCCAUCUUCUAUUUUAAUAUUAAUUGUAGAUGAUUCUACUUAAUUUAGGUGGAUUUGAUGAAAUUCUCUACAUCAUUAAUGAGUCAAAAGUGUUGAUUGGUUGUAAAACUAAAAAGAAAAUAAAAAUAGGGGUUUAGAGUAAAUUUGAACCUACUACAAAAAUAUAUAACAAAACAAAAGGUGUGAGGUCUCAAAUGAUUUGGCCUGCUGCUCUAAUUUGAUUUAAUGAAGACAUUGGUUUCAUACAAUUCCAUCCAAAUCAAACCGAUUGGCUUCGAUUAAGUCUUCAGUAACCUCGAAAGCCCCAUUUUAUCUGUAACUCUAUAUUUCCUGCAUAUUAUUCUAAUGGUAUGAUAAAAGGAUAUAGUAUUAAUAUCACUCAAUAUAUUUUAAUAUUUCAAUACAUUAAUGUAAUUUAAACAUACAAACCGACACCGUACUGUUGAGAAGGUAGAAGAAAACAAUGACUCAUGAGUUGGAUGUGAGAUGCAAAUGCCGUGCAGCUCAGUGUUACUAAGAGGUAGAGAAGGAAAUUGAAAUUUUCAUUUUUAUUUUUUUAUCUUUCACCUCCUGAUUUCAAUUAAAUAAAUAUUUUUAAUAUUAAUAAAAUUUAGAAGUGUGACUGUAUUUAAAAAUGGGAAGCUUUUUACUAAUAGACCAAACAAAGGUAAGAAUAAAAAGAAAAACCCAUAGGAAUAUUAAGAUGAUUGGAUGAUAAUGAGUAGCCGACUAUGGUGACCAAAGGGCAAAUACAAAUAUACAACAUCCGAGUGAUUCCCAAGCACUCUCCUUCACAUUUUCCUUUUUUUUCUUUUGUAAAUCCAAUGCCUUCUUUUUAGCCUUUCAUUGUCACUUCCUCCGUCAAUUAAAGUUAAAAUACCCUUCUUGGUUUUGGAGAAGAUCACCCAUUCCAGAGUAUCUUUUGUUUUUACACAGAUUUUCAUUUUUCUUUUACAUUACCUAGGCUGUAUGUAUACACUUUUUGCUAUACAAGAUGAACCUAUUUUAAAUAAAUAAAAAUUGGGGUUAUAUUUCUGUUCCUAAAAAUGAAAAUGAGUGUUUCUUUAAUGGAAUCGAAUUAAUUGUUUGAUAUAAUAUAUUGAAUUGAUAGAGAUCUCCACUAAUAUAUUGGGAAAUUUGUAAUGAUUUUAUUGUGUUUAAAAAUUAUAUCAUAAAGUGUAAGAACUUGUUGGGAGACUAUGACAUAGCCGUGUUUAAAGAAACUCGUGAUUUAACACCAACAUUUUGAUCACAACAAAAUAAAGAAAACCCAACCAACACCCCCCCCCCAAUCAAUUAGGUCAGUGAUGAUAUAUCUUCCAUUUUCUUUUCUCUUCUCUAUUUGAUAAGCAAAAAAAAUAUUCAUAAUUGAAAUUAGGUGAUUUUUCUCGAAAUCGAAAUCAAACUCUCUUGCACUGAAUCAAUAUAAUUGAAAUUCAAAGUUUGAAUCCUAUUAAAGAGAAUAGAAAAAAUUGGCUGAGUUUUUAACUAUCUCUCAAACGGGGAAAAAAUAUAAAAUAUUGACAAGUAAAAGAUGAAAAUGGGUAGGAAAAUAAAAAUGGAAAAUGUGGAAAUGUAAAAAAUAGAGGGAAAAUGAAAAAGAAAGGCUGACGAAAAUACAGAUGGAUGGGCCAUCUAUAAACAAACAUAACCAAUCCCAGCGGCAGCGGUAGCGGCAGAGACCUGCAGUCCCCUCUACUGCUCUGCGCUCACCAACUUUCAACUUACUACUUAAUACAUAUAUAUAUGUAUAUAUUCCUUUUACCAAUGUUUUUUUUCCAAAUUGAAUGGGUUUUAAUUAAAAAAUGUUAUUAGUAAUUAGUGAUUUAAUUAGGAAUAACAAUAAAGGGCAAAAGAGUAUUAAGUGGGAAGUGUGAAAUUGAAACGAAAGACAAACAGGAGAGGGUGAGAGUGAGAAGUAAAGCCAAACCCCACGCGAACAACAAGCGAAAGCAAAGCCCACCAAAAAACAAAAGAAAAAAAGAACGAAAGAAAGAGCAGAAAUAGGUGUCUCUCUCUUGGACUGAUUCUUUUUCAUUUCCAUUUCCAUCUCUCUUCUCCCUAUAUAUCAAAAGAAAAGAAACCAUAUCAAACAAAGGCAAAGCCAAAAUGUUGGUGGUGAGAAACCAAAUUAAAGAAACAAGAAAAUUAGAAGAAGGGUGAUCUAUUCUCUUGUUGUUGAUCAGCUUUUAUCAUCCAUUCUUUGAUUGCUUCAUUCAUUCUUUCUUUCUUUCUUAUCUUCUUCAAACUUGAUUGCUUUCCCUUCACAAUCACAUUGCUGUAAUGGCCGUUCAAGCUCAGUAUCCUUCCAAUGUCCUCCUCUUAAACAGGUUUGUCUUUUUAUCUCUCUGCCUCUUCAUAUGAUUUCUCAUCUAUUUAUUUAUCUUUUCUGGGGUAUUUUUUUUAUAGAAGUGGACAAGAAGGGCAUGAGUUUUCGUUGCAACAACAAGGGGGAGGGGUUUAUGUUGAUCAAUCCCAUAUGUUCUUUAACAGCAGCAACAACAAUAAUAAUCCAAGGAAAAGAGGAAGAGAAAUGGCAGCGGUAGCAACAACAGCGCCCGUGAAUUCAUUUUCUUUGCAAACGCAACCGCCUCAAUUCAUAGAGCUUUCUCAACUCCAAAGACCAAAUGUAGUCUCCACGGGGCUCUGCUUAUCUUUUGGGGACCAACAACACUUGCACCAAAACCAAAACCAAAGUUAUGAACACCAACAUCAAAAUCUCGUUUCCAGCUCCACUGCUUUUCUGUCUAUAAUAUCUGAUGAAUUGGCUACCCAAAUCAAACGCCAGAGAGAAGAACUAGACCAAUUUCUUCAAGCCCAGGUACCAGAGUUUUCUUUCUUGAAUUGGUUUUCUUUUGUUAGGGAAAAAUGUAGUGACAUUUUAUUUUUAUUUUUUUUUGGGGGGGGGUUCGUUUGUUAUGGAUUAAAGGGGGAGGCAUUGCGGCGUACGUUAGCGGAGAAAAGACAUAGGCACUUCCGUGCGCUACUGGGGGCAGCGGAAGAAUCGGUGGCGAGGAGAUUAAGGGAUAAAGAGGCGGAAGUUGAGAAAGCAAAGCAGCGGAACGCAGAGUUGGAGACACGCGUGGCGCAACUUAACGUGGAGGCGCAGGUUUGGCAGGCGAAAGCCCGGGCACAGGAGGCUACGGCGGCUUCAUUACAAGCGCAGCUUCAACAGGCUAUAAUGAGCGGAGGGGCUGCCGCCUCGAUGCACGACAGCAGGAGAGGGGAGGAGGGGGUAAAGUGCGGUGAAGGGCAAGCGGUGGACGCCGAGUCGGCUUACGUGGACCCGGACCGGGUGGUGGCUUCAUGGGGUCCGGCAUGCAAGGCGUGUCGGAAACGUCUGGCGUCGGUGGUGCUGCUGCCGUGUCGGCAUCUAUGCUUGUGUACAGAGUGUGAUCGAGUGGCGCAAGCCUGCCCGCUUUGCCUCACCGCCAGGAAUUCUAGCGUCGAGGCUUUUCUUUCUUGAAUUUUUUUUUUUAAAGUCCAGAUUAAAAAAAAAGGGGGAAAAAACAAUUUGGAAAAAAGAAAGAAAAUCAAAUAGUAUAAACCUUGAUUAUGAUAAUAAGUUUUACAUUUUUAAUCAAAGUUUAUAUUUGGUUCAUAAAGAAAUUUCAAUAAAUCUAAGAUAAAUUUUUUGUAUAUGAACAAAUGGUAGAACAAGUUCAGAGGUUAUACAUAUAUAAUAUCACUAAUUUCGUCCGACAAAUUAUUCAAACUAAAAUAUUAGCAUCAUUUAUUCAUAAACCAAAAGAAUAUUAAAAAUGUCAAUAACCAUUACUUCAACUAUUUUCUUUAAAUAAUUGCUUACAAAAAUAAUCAAUUUAAAAUAAACUUAAUUAUGUUGUUUUUUUUCAUUAUUCUUCAAUAUGUUGGGAACACGAUAAAUAAUAUUUAGAAACAUUAAGAAGCAAAACGAGUAAAACGUAUAAUUAAUAAGGUUAAAUUAUUCUAUUAGUCCUUGUGCUAUGCGUAAGAUGAUUUGGUCAUUCAAUCUUAAUUAGACAAACUAAAUUCAUAAAAUUAAGUUAUGUUUUAUUUUAAAAAAAUUUAUGCAACAAAUAAAUUAUCACAUUGUAAUGCCAUAUCUAGGGGAAGGAAAGUAAAAGGAGAAAAGUUUUGAGAGGUUUGGGGGAAGGGAAGUAAAAGACUUUGAUAAAAUUUUGAGUCAAAUUAAAUUUUGCUCAUUCUUGACGAUAUCACCUUGCUAUUGGAUUAAGAUCUACAUAUUACUUAAAAAAGGACUAUAAACUAAUUUAAUGGUGGUUGUUUACAUCAAGACUAAAACUUUGAAGUUCAAAAAGUACAGGGAGUAAGAAUAAUUGACUUGGAUAACAUGAAUUAAUUCUAGAAUCUUAUGCCAUAGUACAAACUAAUGAUAGAAUUUAACCAAAUAAUUUGAGCUACUACUGUUUCGGUCAAGACUAAUAUUAAAAAAUUGAAAAUAUAGGAGCUAAAAUCAAUCAAUUCAAAAAAUACAUGCACUAGUAUUGACCAAAUUAGAGUACAGGAUUAAAUUUAUAAUUUCUGCAAAAGAACAGGGACUAAUAAUAAAAUUUGACCAAACAAUAACAUAUGAUUCAAAAUUGAAGCACAAUCGUGGAUGAAAUCACUUUAGGCAUCAAAGAUUAAGUUCGAGUCCGAUGCCACCCAGUCCUUCAAAUUUGUUGUAAUAAAAAAGGAUUAAAAUCUACAAUUAGAUCAUCUAGCAUAAGUAAUUCGUAGAUUUAGUAUUUAUUCUUUAAUAUUAUUAAUUUUUGUCCAUAUAUUUUUUAAAUAAUAGUGGUUAAAUUUAUUAAGCUGAAUUAUACUAUUUUUAAAAUAUUAUGCUACAAAUUUAUUGUCAUAUGUGUGUAAUUGUAUGUUAAGUUAUCAUUUUCACGUUAAAAAUUAUCAAAUUGGAGAAUAUCAACUAAAUUCAUCACUUCCAUCAAGGGCAAAUUCAAAAAUAUUUUUAGGGGUCGAAAUUGAAUAAUAAAAUUUUGAGAAAUCAAAAUAUAAUUUUAUAAUGUAUUAAUUUAUUAUUACAUCAUUUUUGAAAGGAUUAAACAUAUUUUUUUUUCUUUUUUAGGGGUCAAAGUCAAUUUUAUCAUUAAUUAAUUUUUGAUUUAAUUAUCUUAUCGAAAACAUAGAUAGCAUUUUUUUCAUUUGAGGAGGGUCCAAUGUCCUACAUGCCUCCUUCAUAUUUGCCUUGGACUUACAAAUAUACGAGACUAAUAGCAGGAUUUCACUUAAUGAAUUUAAUUACUACAAUUUGAAUCAUGAUUAAAUUUUUAAAAUUUAAUAAAUAUAUAAAUUAAAAUUAAUCGAAUUAAAGUUGUAGAUAUUAAAUCUGUAAAGUAAAAAAAAAUAACAAUAAAUUUUGACAACUAAUGAGGAAGUCUUGUUUCUAUUGACAAAAGAAAAGAUCCUGAAUAUUAACUAUUCAAAUUUGAGAUUCAUCAUAUGUAAUUAUAUACGUGAGUCUCCGAAUUCUACCAUAGGUACGUAGGUUUUAGGUCGAAUUGUACCAACUCUUAUCUGUUAUACUUGUAAUUAUUUAAUUCUUUGUAUUUUACUUGAUAAAAAUAAAAUAUUGAAGCACCAUGGUAUGAUGGGAUCCAAUUGAAAGAAGAGAAGCGAGGAGUGGUGUCAGUCCAUGUGUUGCUGAGCUAGCUGCUCAAUGUCUCCAUUACACACAUCAACUACCACUAUAUAUGAUAAUGCCUUUCAUUAUUGCCUUUUGGAGGCAAAUCCCUCAAAUCCAUACAGAUAAAUAAUAUUUGCUAGUAUUACUGUAGCUUUCUAAGAAGGAGGAAUUUGUGUCAAAAAUUACUGCUGGAUGAAUUAAAAGUUAAAAGAGUAAAUGUAAUUAACCAUAUGCAAAAUUGCGGAUGCAGUCCCUUCUUUUCAUUUGAAUCUAUCAAUUUAUAUGACAUUUUGCUACAUGAAGUUGAAGUGUAUGCCAUGCAACCACAGCGCUCCAACAUUAAAGGUAAUGAUGUACAUUAAUUACAUUCUAUAUACUGCUUGUGAGAUUUAAGAAAGAAGCAAAAGUAUUUUUUAUUAUAUUGAUUUUUUAAAUAUAUAUUGUGGAGAGUAGCUCACACAAUAAUCAUAUACAUGGACAAUUGAUAAUGCAGAAGAAUAGUUUAGAUAGUUAUAUAUCUUAAAAUUAGAGGUACCAUUAAAAGAAACUCAUAAAUUGCAUGAACUAUAUAAGAUAUUAACCCAAAUAAAAUCAAUAAAGUUACAAGUUAAGAUUGAUUUAGUUUCAAGCUAAACCUGUUAAGGAAUUGGAGGGAAUCAGGAUUCAUUUGUUCAAUAACCUUCUCUAAUUUAAUAAUUAGGCAACACCUCCUGGUUAAAAUUUUACACAAGUCUUCUUCCUAUAUUUAAAAUUCAAUCCCUUUGCUUCUAAAAUUUUAAAUUUUAGAUCCAAUUGUUAACAUAAUCAGAGUUUCUUUUUAUUAAAUUCACUAGUAUAACAUUUUGAAUAAUACAAUAUUCGUUUGAUAGGUAUGUAACAAAAAUAAUAAUAUUACAAUGAAACUAAAUUUAACAUAAAAAUUUUAACGGUGUUACGUGUUAAUAAUUAGGCUUAUAUUUUUUAUAUCCAAAAAGUAGAGUUGAUAAAUUCUUUAAAAUAAAAAAAAGGGUUAAAUUUCAAAUGUGAAAAAAAAUCCAAGUUCAUGAAUGGAGAAAUUAUCUCCUUUUUGCCUUUGAAAUUCUUGCAGAGCAGAUGCUUUCUUACAAUAUGAUGGACUUAUGAUAGACCCAAAAUUUUACCUUAUUACCAACUACUGCAUAUAUAUAUGAUAAUUAUCAGUGAAUUUGAUAUUUUGGAAGUAAUUAAACUUUGAAUAUAAUAAUGAAGCUAAGUGCAGUUUAAGAUUGGAUCAGAGGCAACUUUGACUGCGUAUCUAACAAGCAGAAGAUAAGCUGGAAUCUGGUUGUGCCUCAUCACAUGCCCAUCACAUUGCAUUGUCCGAUGCAAAAUGGGGGUAUUUUUCAAAGCUGUUUGAACUUUGAAGUGAAUAAAAGAGAAAAUUUUUAUUAAUCAAUUAAUUCCCCUCAACUACACCAAAAAACAAGUUUCCUUUGCCUUGAUUUUUCACUACUUUUUAUCCAUAUGAUUCCAACUUGUUUUGAAUGAAACUCAAGGGCUGUCAAAUGGGGGCAAACGUAGAGGACAAUGAAAUUAUAAGAGUUGCAGCAGUGCCCCCCCCCCCCCCCCCCCAAAUGCCUUGUUAAAGAGGGCUACAUGGUCCUCACUCAACAACCACACCCCUGCAAAAUGAUAAAAAAGACUUGAUAUAUACAAAACCUAGUGAGUGACCCAGCUCAUUGAAACAUAGGCAGUCCACGAAAGGAACACACAUACCUCGUUUUCAAUUAAUUUUAUUUUUAUUUAUUGAAGUGGGAACGCAAAAAAAUUUGUCCCUUGUUCUGGACGGUUUUGAUCACUAUAUAUGAAAUGUCAUUGGCAUCGUUUGUCCCAUUCUUGUUGUCAUAAACCAGCACAGUCAUCUUUGAUGGAGUAAAUGGACUUUUCUAUUGUUUCGAUUUUGCUGUAAAUAUGCAAGGAAAAUACAUACGAAGCUUCUUCUUUUUUUUAUUAAAGCAACUAAACGAGUACAAGCUGUAUUGCUAUUGGGAUACGAUGCUCAAUGGGGAUGGCAGUUUGACAAAAAACAGGGACAUGAAGGAACGAUCCAUUUUGCAUAUUUUGGAACCCUUUAUGACUAAGGAUGCAUGCUUUUCAGUACAGAAUUUGACACUUCAAUUUUGUUAGCUGUGGGGAAACCCCAUUUACGGAUUUAAACUUUCAAGACCUCACCAACGAAAACGUAUGUUCACCACUCAAGGUUCAACGUUAUUAUUCCACGUACAAUGGCUCACUAACAGUAAGCACACAACAGCCCCAUUUUUACCUAUAACUAGCCAUAACACAUUCCAACCCCUUAAAUAGGAGGAUAAAUGUGUUUCAACGCACUUGAACUCAUACCAGGGACUAUAACACCCCUUGCCCGACCUGAUUGCCGGGUCUAAGCUACUAAAUGUUACAAUCAGUGCCAGAACAACUAACACCCCUCGCCCGACCUGAUUACCGGGUCUGAGCUACGAAAUGUUACAAUCGGUUGCGGAACAACUACCGUCAAAUUUACAGUAAAUAAAAUCCUCCAAACCAUUCAACCAUAUCUUAAACACUUCACAUUUGGAACACAAUUAAAUCCGAGCCGUAAUCGAGUUUUACGAAAACUUUUUUAUUGACUCGAGCAUGAAAUAGGACCAAUUGUAAAGGUUUCAAAAUCUUAAAGAGGCCGACGUCGUGACGUCACAUCCUCUACGUCGAGACAGCACCAAACAGUUUGCCACAUUGUGCUCAGACACUCGCGCCACGUGUUACACACUUGUAUUGAAGGUCCUCUUUGGGACAUGCUAUUUUGAAAAAAUAGAACUAAACCAAUUAUGCAAAUUGUAAAGUUUCAAAAUCUUAAGGCCGACGUCGUGACGUCACUUCCUCUACGUCGAGACAUCACCAAACAGUUUGCCACAUUGUGGCCUCAGACCACUCGACGCCACGAUGUUACACACUGUCGACCAACUUUACGACGAGGAAGGUCGCUCUUUGGGACAUGGACUCUAUUUUUGAUAAAAAUAAACCAUUUGGUAUCUAUUUCAAGUCUUCCAACCAAACUAUACCAAUUAUGCAAUAAGUAUUAACUUAACUCAAAACAUACAAAACAUGACAAAAACAAGCUCAAUAACUAAUCUUUAAACUAAUCAAUUCUAAAUCAUCAACUAAGUUUAAACAAUACAUAAUACCAAUCAACAAUCCAUUCACUAACAUUACAUGUACCAAGUCAACUCAUGAACAUGACAUUUCUUAUCCCAUAUAUCCUAAAGUAUGUCAACCACAACAUGCCAUUUCAUUAGGUAUCAACCAUUGCUAAAUCAAGCAUAUCAAACCAUAUAUCAAGACAGCAUCUGCUUACAUAUACCAAGUUCAUAACAUAAUAAUUUUUACACAUCAAAACACCUAGACACAUGCCACAACAUUAAGGGUCCAAAACGAUUAAAUAUCUAUCGGUUCAAUGAUCGAAGAGUGUGAGCUUUUAGUUGGUCCGGCUUGACACGUUCCACGAGAAGAUGAUCUAAAAAGAAAAGGGAAAACAGACGGGGUAAACAUAUAUGAUGCUUAGUAAGUUUAUAUGCAUUAAACAACUUAUCUCAAUUUAAAAUUUAAUACCAUAAUCUAUUUAACUUGACAAGUUGGCAACCAUAUAACAACAAGGUAAGCUUAGCAUAUAAAUCAACUGUAAUAUGAUUUAAACAUAUACCAAUUCAAUCCAUUUCAAAAUCAAUAUCUUUGUAUCAUACUCUUAUUCAAUUUCACAUUUAUUCAUUCAAACAUCAAUCAAAUGUUAAUUCAUUUUCUAUUUUUCUUCCCAUUAGUUAUUUAGCCCGAUGAACUCUAGUAAACGUAUUUGGCUACAUAGGUAUCUCUAGUACAAUAAUUGCUCACCCGAGGUGAAUACAUAUUCAUGUUAGGUUACGAAACCUUUAAUGACACGUUCAAUUGUUUGGCCAAGUUGAAAAUAUACUAUAAGGUUACCAAUCCAAGCUAAACCUAUAACCUAACAUCAGGUUACCUGUCUAUAAAAUGACAUCAAGUUACUAGUCCAAGCUAAACAUGUGUCACAUAUAGCUUCGAUUCCACAACAAAUGCUAGAUCUCAGUUAUCAUCGGUAAACAAUCCAUAAAAAUGUGUACAAAACCUUUACCAAGUUCACCAGGACAUUUUCAACACACACACACACACACAUAUAUAUAUACAUUUCAUUACAAUUUAGUCUAAAUCUCACAUUUUGUACCAAAUCGCAAACAAUCCAAAUUUCAACCAAAUAUACACAUAUUCAUAAUCCAAAUACAUAACAAUUUAAUACAAUCAUGCCAUAUAAACUUUCCUGGUCAAAACGACAAAUAACUGAAUCUUUAAGGAUUAAUCAAUAAUUUUAUCUUUUCCAUAAUUAUCCCCGGUUUGGUUCAAUCCCUAAUCUAUUCAAUUAUUUAAUUUAAUUUAUCAACAUCAAACACUUUUAUAUCAUCCCAUAACAUGAAUGACCCGGUUUAAUUACAUUUUUCGGAUUCCCAUAAGUUUUACAUUUUAUUUAAUUUAGUGCCUAAAAAUGAAAUAACAAUCUUUCAAUUUUCAACUUCAAUUUUGAAAUCGAUCUCAAUUACAUCUUUUUAGGACCUUCUACUAUCAAAAAUUACAGAAAUUUCACAUUAAAUACUUAAUUUUUACACUUUGGUCCUUUUAGACAAAAUUGAAAAUUUACUGCUUUACAAUCUAGUCGUUUUUCACAUCUAAGCUUAAAAUCUAUCAAUUUAAAACCUAUUUCUUCAAAAACUUAUCAAUGGAAUCUUUUAAAAGCUUUAACAGUUUUACAAAUUGGUACAUGAAUUAGUUAAAUUAAGCUCCAAAGACCUUAAAAAUAUAAAUAUUACAAGAAAAAAACUAAAUUGAACUUACCUUUUAAAAACCGAAUAGCUUGAACUUCACUUAGGUUUUCCUUUCUUUAUUAUUUUAGCUUUUAUACUUGUAAUUAAAGUUUAAUUAAUCAUAAUAAUGAAUUAAAUCUUAAUUAACUAAACAAUUAAUUAAGUGGAUUUUGAAUAGCAUCCACCACCGUUUGAAUAAUUUAAAAUGUUUUAUUUACUCAGUUGGUCCUUUGACUAUUUAAAAAUCUAUAACGAUAAAUUUUUAUAAUUUAAUCAUUGUACCUUAAUUAAUUAUUAAUUCACCAAAAUUAAGGGACCAAACUUUAACAAACUUUAACACUAACCUCGUAAAUAUAUUAAAUAUAAUAUUUAAGGACUUCUACUACGAAAAUGGAUUCCAAAACUAUCGUUUCCAACACCACUGAAAAUCAGGCUAUUACGGGGUUGAAACUAAAGGCUGACAAGGACCUCGGCCCCCCAAAAUGAAAAAAUUCCAUUUAGGCCCUUUAGAAUUGAUAAAAUUUUAAAUUAGUAAUGGUAAAAUUGCACUUUGACUCCCUAAAAAUGAUUUAAAAAAUUAAUUUAAUCUUUUAAAACUUAUAAAGAUAUAGACCAUUAAAAUAGUGAAAUUACAUUUUUACUAUCAUAAAAUAUAUACAAUUUAAUUUCACCCCAAAAUAAAUUUUCAACUUUGCCCCUAGCUUAUAUUCUCUUGCACGAAUAAAAAUAUUGAUACUCAUCGAAUUAAAACUCCAUCAACAAAAUAAAAAAGAGUUUAAAUUACAUAAAAUCUUAUAUUAUAGUAAAUAUAAAUCUUAAUUAUUAAUAUAAUUCAAUUUAUACUGGAACUCAAAUCAUUGAGCCACAAUUGUAUUAUAAAUCAUUUAAUAAUCAAAUGCACUGAGAACAUUUAUUCUAAUUAAUUUCUAUGGUUUACUCGGCAAAAACUCAAUGUCUUUAAGACUAUGUUAUAUUAUAUACAUUGUAUUUUCUAUGUCGAAAUUUAUGCCUUUUUUUUUUUUAACAAUAUCAUCUCUAAGAAUUAAUUCUUCAUUCUCUUUGAUAAAUAAUGUCUUACUACUAAUCUCAUUUUGAUAGUAACAAUGUAAAAAGUUAUAACUUUGAAUAUAAAAGGCUUUUUAGCUAGAGCUAACCUAAUUAGCUUUUGGGCCAAAAGGGUAGGCCAUUAUGGUGAAUUUGGUGCGUACUUUUAAGAACCACUUGCUUUGAAAAAUGGGCUCUUCGUUAAUCAAAGUGGCUGUGGGCUUCACCUCAUGCCCAAUCAAAAGCAAAAAAACAAGAGAGAGACUAUUUUUUUUUUUUUUGCUUUAUUCUUGUCCCAUUGUUAUGCUUUAUUGAAGAACAGAAGCAAAAGCCGCCCCCCAAACUCAAAACAUACUUCUAAAAAUAAUACUUAAAAUAAUCAAGCUUAAUUAAAAAUAAACCCUUACUUUUACAUAUUAUAUAUAAGAGUCCUUAAAAAAGCAGGCCGACAAAUUCAAAUAUUGCAAGAAAACAAGAUGCAAAAGGACUUACUUUCGGAUGCCACCUUAAAGUUCCACAAAACAAAGAAAAAUGAAUAAACCAAAAGAAGAAUGAAAGUGAAAAAAGAAUAGAUUCACGUUUCAGAACAUGCCUGCUGCAUUGGAAGCACACGUGGGACUUUUAUAUCGUUCCACGUGGUUAGAUCUUUGUCGUUGUUAGAGCCUAGAAUCAGAUUUUUUACGCUCUACAAGUAAUAAAUCACAUGCCUAAAUGUUAACCACUACCUUACUAUUAUACCGUUUUAUUCUAUUAUUAUAUUUAUAAUAAUAUGUGAUUAUAGUAAUAUAGUCUUAUCAUAAAAUUUAUAAUUAAAUAACAAAAAUGAGAAUUAAAAUAACAAAAUUACAAUGUGUAUAAUAGAUGCAUAUAUUAUUGCUAUGUAUAUUUUAUUUUACAUUCUUUCACAUUAUUAAUUAUAAAAAUAAUAAAUCUAAUAAGUUCAAUUAAUCAAUAUGAGUUAUCAAAUUGAAUUCAUUAAUUUAUACCAAGUUACUAAAUUCAAAUAAUCAACUUUUAAGUUUAUAAUGUUUCAAAUUCAUAUUAGAAUAUUUAAUUAGGGAACUUAAUAGUUUCUUGAAUUCCACUUAUUAAAGAUUAUUUUCAAUUAAUAAAAUAUGAUUAUUAUAUUUCUUCACGUGAAAUUUAAUCAUUUUAGUGAAAUAACAUUUUAAUUAAGAUAAUUUUCAUUUAAUAAAUGAUAAUUAAUAUGUUUGCUUAUAAGAGAUAACUAUAAUUUUAAUUAAAAAUUUAGACUAUAUGUUGUUAUAAAAAAACCAAUCUAAUAAAUAGUGUAUUUCAUAACUAUGGAUGUUACUAUUAUAAGUGAAAAGUUAUUAUAGAGGAUUAAAAUAAAACAUAAAAAUCGUUUCUUCUGGAAACUGAAGAAACUUGACUGUUAUAGCGAAAUGUUGUUAUAUCAGAUGAUUGUUAUAAAGAAGGCUGAUUGUAUAUAAAAAGUCUAUUAACAAUUCCAACAAAGGUGUUGUUUCAUAAAUUGAAAAAUUAAGUGCUAAAAAAAUUAGAUAUUGAAUUUAAAUAAUAUAAUUUGGUUGGUAUAUUUCUUAAAAUUAAAUAUAAAAAUAUGAUUCAACUAUUUGAUAAAUGUAACUUUUAAAAUUUUAAAGGUAAAAUAAAUAAAAAGAAUUGAAAUUUUCGUUCUCUAUUUUUUCACAUUUAUUGUAUAUGAUUUUUAUAAAAUAAUAUGCAUAUAUUUUUUAAAUUGUAUAUGAUUUUUAUUUUUUUUUUAAAAAACUUAAUGUAAAUAUUUGUUUUACACCUGACCAUGAUAAUGCAUAUUAUUCUUCUAAAAUUUAGUAACAUUGAUGUGUUAAAUGAAAAAACUCAACUGAUAAUUUAAUAAUCUGUAUAAGUUUUCCAUUAGAUGUAAACUCUAAUAAGAGAAAGAAGCACUGUGUUUAUUUAAUAUUCAAAUUUUCCUUGAUUUCUUGGAAAUAAAUUUAGUAAUUUAUAAAACCAUGCAUCAUUAAUUGAACAAUACGUUUUACUUUUUUUUUUAGUACAAAAAUUGAUUAUUGACUUUUCAAUAAAUGUUAAUAAAUAAAUAAAAAGCAUACAAGUCAACUUUACCAUUUUUUUCUCCUGAAAGAGACAUUGGGAAUUGAUUGAGAAGCACUAUAUUUGUCACUAAUAAUUAUUUUUAUAUGACAAAGAAUCUUCUACCAAAAAAUAUCAUUUCAAUUUUAAAUAACUUAAUUGUGUACUUUUAAAUAAAAGAAGUAUUAUUUUUCAUUAUAUUUUAGUCUACGAGUUAGCUGUAAAUUAAUUUCAAUUAGUAAUUUUUAAUUAGUUGUAUGACUUAUUUUAAGAAAAAUUAUUAAAUUCAAGAGCUAAUCUAUAUAUUAAACCUUUAAAAAAUAAUAGUAUUAAUCAUAAAAAUUGACUUGUGUAACGGAUAUUAAUGUUGAGAUCAAUGUGAUCCAGAUAAAAUAUUAAUGGCCAAUUUAAGAGCUAAUUUAUAUAGAAAAGUGAAGAUUUCACCAUGCACCUUCUUUAGUUUCACGCUUAAAACAAUAUAAGGGAUAGUAAUAAUAUGUAAAUAUAAAAGGAGAAGAUUUGAUGCAUUAUCAGUACAUAAGUCUUACGAAUAGAGGUGUUCAUGGGUCAGGUUGAGCAGUUUGUUAGGUCUGGGCCUAGCUUGGCCCGAAAAAUUAGUUUAAAAUUUUGCUCAAACCUGGCUCGAAUAAAAAUACUAAAACUCAGGCUCGACCUGGCCGUAUUAAUUUUUUAUAUUAUUUUUAUAUAAUUUUAAAAUAUAUAUAAUACAUCAAAAAUACUAAAAAUAUCAAAAUAAAUAUUUUCUAACAAAUUAAAAAUAAAUUUAAAAAAAUAUGUAUACUUAAACAACACUAAGAUAGAUGCAACUUAAUAAGUAAAUGUCUUUAAAAUAAUAAUAAAAUUAACAAUGCCUCUAAAAUAAUAACAAAAUUAGCAAUAAAACAAGUUUUAUGUAAUAUUCAAACAAUAAUAUCAAAAUAGUAGUACAGUAAUAAUAAAAAUGGUAGCAAAUGGGAAGAAAACAACAAAAAAUAACAUUAAAAAAAUCAUAAUUUUUUUUGUCCUUUAGUGAAUUCAGGCUCAAGGCCAAAAAUGCCUUACCCGAGACCCAGCCCUUUUUUUUAACAAACCUUAUUUUUUGUCCAAACCCAUUUUUAGGGCCUAUAUUUUUAUUCAAACAUUCCCACAUUUCGAGCGGGCCUUUAAGCCAGGUCGGGUGGCCCGACCUAUAAACAGGUCUACUAAUUGACUAUUAAUGAAUAAUAAUAUAAUAUUUUAUCAUUAAAUAAAAAAAUAUUAAUAUUUCAUUUAAACAUAAUUAGGUAAUAAUUAAUUAUAAAUAAUAAUUAAAAUCCCAAACUUAAACCCUUAAAUUUAAUAUUCUAAAUUCGAGAGGUAUUAAUAUUUAUUUAUAAUAAUUACAAUUAAUGUUUAAUUAUGUUUAAAAAAUUAUUAUAAUUUAUUUACAAGUCUUCCAUAUUUUUUGUUUUAUUUAAUAAUGAUGUGUUGUGUUAUUAUUCAUUGAUGAUGUAUGACACUUAUACAACACGAAAAAGGAGGCAAAUUUAAAAUCACAUAAAAUUUUAAUAAAAAUAAUAAUAAACUAAUUCUAAAUUAUUCUUAUUCUUCGUUAAACUCAAGCUCUUGUGUCAAAUAAUUUGUACAAUCCACUUAUUUUUCAACACAUAAGACAACAUUUGUAAUUACAUAGAAAUUGAUCAAUUAAGUAAAAUUCAUGUCCGGAAGUAAUUAAAAUAAAUAAUAAAAACAUGUUAAUUAAGCGCAAUAUAAACUAAAUUUUUAAAAAUAAAAACAUAAGAACUAAAUUUCAAAUUUUGAAAAGAAUUAGGAACUGGUUACAUAUUUUAACCUAAAUAUCCAUAUUAGCUCUGUUUUCAAUUUAGGGCUUUCAUUUAUCUUCAUGUUACUCUCUUUGCUACCAAACUCUCGUUUUUUUUUUCUCCAUUACUGGUUUAAGCUUGAGAAAGCGUUUUAAAACAUAUGUUUUUUUUUAAUAAAAAUAAAUACAAAAAAUAUUAGAAGAGUAUCGGAAAAGGUAGAAUCAAAGUGGGGGAGCGAGUGAAAGACAGAUUUGGUGAAGUUAAUUAGGUGGUCCUACUAUCAACUACAGUCUAGGGGUUGUUCCAACGGCACCCACAAUUGAGUUUCUUUGGUUAUAAAAGAAUUAUAUGGAAAUGCAAAUUCAUAUUAUUAUUAUUUGUCAAUUUACCCCUACAAGACAAUUGAGAUUUUGAAUAUAUCUGGUGAGUGGUAAUUAAUUUAUUAAAAAAGUAACUGGUUUACAUAAUUAUUUUUUUAUUUAUUUAUUAAUAGUCAAUGUGAAUCCAAUUAAAACAAAUUGAUAUGAUGUGAUGGCGGGUUUAAUUAUGAUGCACAAAGUUGAACAAGAAAAAAACGAGUCCACUUUAUCAUAAAGUCAUUGAUUUAAAAUAUGGGAGAUUGUCAUGUCAUUGGAAUCAAAUCCCCUUUGUAUCUUUAUGCACUUGAGAUAAUAUCUGCACUUCCUAUGCAUGUGAGGGUUGCUCAAUCUUCAAUCUUCUAUAUAUUUAUGUUAUUCAACUUUGUUUCAAUAAUUGGAAUCAAUAUAAAUAACCACCAACACUUAAUUGUUUUGUAAGCUAAUAAUAAUUAUUUUAUUUGUUAUACAAAAAUAAUUAACUUAAACUAUCAUGAAUUGAUUUGUAAUUUAAAAAGAUAAUACAUAAUAUAAAAGAAAAAAAAAACAAAUGUAUAAAUAGAUGGAAUGUAUUCUUCAUUAAAUGAUAAGUCAUAUUUUAUAUAUUUAUCUUAUCGUAUGAUUUUCAAUGAAAAAAUUUCAUCAAAUGUUUUUAACUUUUAAAUAAUCAAAUUGUUGAAAUUAUUGGUUUUCAAAGAAUUGAAUUUCUUUUCCAUAGAUUGUCAAACAAUGCUUAAAUUGCAUACUUUGUUAUUUAUUAAUGAAAAUAGUUAAUAUUUAAAUUAAUUAUUUGUAUUUACUCAUUUUAUAAGGUGCGUUUGAUUUUCUGAUUUUUAAAUUACGUUUUAUAAUAAAUUUAUAAGAAUAUAAAAUUACAGGUGAAAUAUAAGAUUAACUUGUUUAACUUAUUUAAUUGAAACGUAAACAAAAUAUAUAAUUACCAAAGAGCAAAUUUUAUUAAAUUUUCCUUAUUAUAAAAUUUUUAUUUUUAUAAGUUCAACAUAUUUUAGGCUUAAAUUCUUCAUAAAAUCACAGUAGCUUAAAGAAACUAAAUUUUAUUACACAUUGAUCUUCAAUUGAACAACCAUUAAACUUAGUUUACUUAUAUGGUUUGUAAGUGUUUAUUUUAGAGACUUUAGUAACCUAAAAUUUACAAUAUAAACCUCUAAGUUUUCUUUUGUAUUACUUAAUGCGGUCUGGGGCUCCCAACGACUCUAAGAAAUUUGAGUUUUGAAAGAAAAAACCAGUUUGGGUUUGUUUCUUAAAAUAAAAUUGUUAAUGUUUAUGAGAAUCAAGGUUUUGUUUCGUAAUGGAAAUUUUAAAUAUGAAAUUAUACUCUAUACGAUUUAAAAAUUUAACACAUUUGAAAUAUUAAAAAUUCAAAUAUUGUAAUCUCAUUUUAAUUACAAAAUUUUAAUGUAUGAUUCAGUCAACAAAAAGUUAUCUUAAUUUUAGGAGAAUUAUAUUUUUUAAAAGAAAAUUAAAUUAUUUCUGACUCUAGAAGCACAUAUUUGAUAUUGAUUCUAGUGUCACAGGGCUAGAUUUUUCGUCUUGCGAUCUAUGUAGCUUUAGGCGAUCCGUUCACUUUAAGCUUGCCUAAAUCAACUUUUACUCCCAAAAGUGAGGAUUCUUUUAGAAUCCCUUUAAGAUAUUGAUUUGUAUAGUGGAAUCAAUUGUGCCAAAAGAAGUUACAAAAGAACAACAGAAAGCCACGAAAUAACACACAAAAGUUGUUUAAAUAAAUGCUCAAAGGUUUCUAUUACUCUUAAGAAUUCAACUUACAAUAGAUGAUUUACAAAUAAGGGGAAGGCUCUCUAUUUAUAGUUGAGCUCUCCCAAAACCGAUAGUCAAUAUCAAAUUACAUUGACGGACGAAAUUAGCCUAUACCUUAAUUUUGGGAAUUUACAAAACUACAUCAUAUCAAAUCAAAUCUACAAGAUAUGAUUCUCACAUUUACUAAAAAUAGUCUAUGUUGUUGUAUCUUCAUUAUCAGGCCAACCAAGUUUUAAUUUGACAGACUUUUCCAACAGUUCUUGAAAUCAGACUAAAUCUCAUAAGCUAAAUGAUUAUCAUCUAAUCGAUAGACUUAUACGAGACUUGUCCUAUGCCAUGGUCACAAUGAACGUUGAAAGCUAAACUGUGAGAUGGAGAGGGAAAAUUAAGGAAGAUUUUGAAACAUUUAAGUAAAAAUCAGAAGAAAGUCGUCUGAAAUUGAAUGCUAGGAAACCUAAAGGUAUGGGAACCCUAUUUCUCUUGCUCCAUGCAUCCUCUCUACUGCUGUUUUUCUUUUUUCAAUUAGAAGUCAAGCUCUGGAAACCUACCCCCCUGCCCCCUUUUCUCUUACCAAAAUCUGUGCUUUCCUUUUUCGAUACUUGUGUCUUAAAAUCACAUUAAAUACUCACCUGUUUUUUUAAAUUUCAUUUUAACUUCUUCGAUUAAUCUCAAAUUUCAUCUUUGAAUAAAUCUUACCUUGGGUACCUUAUAAAAGAAAAUGCGAAUCAUAUGAUAAUGUAACAGUAAUAUCUGUGUCAUGAUGUCUCAAAAAGUUACUUCACCAUAAAUUUGAAAUAAUCAUAUUUUUCUUUGAUUUAAAUUUAAAUAUGUUUAUGGGCAUUAUACUAUUUGAAUUUAAAAAAAAUUAUAUUUAAAAAAUUAAAGUUCAAUAGAUAAUAAUAAAUCUUAUUAAAUUUAAAUAUAUAAUAUUUUAAUAUUUCGAGUUUUGAUUUAAAAAUUAAAAUGGUCUAACUCAAAUAAAUAAAAAUUUAAAUUUUAAAUCAGAUAAUAAAAAUAAAAUUAUGAAAUUAAAAAGCACUAGGUAAUUCCUCUUUCCUUUUAUCAGGGUCUAAAGGUUUCGGGUCAGCCCAUUGAAAACGAAAACCCGAUCGUCAACGAUGAGUAAGUUGGGCGGUUCCAGAAGAUCGGAAAGGGCAUUUAUCGUUGAUGCAAUCUGAACCACGUCAUGGUUUUUAGAAUUCACGAAGCGAUAACAUAACAUUAUGGCGUAGCAGAUCACUGCUCUUGGCACCGUCAAAAAUUGAAUACCCAUCUGCCUCUGCAUACUGAUUACUGAGUAGGCAAAAAAUAAAAAAUUUGGUUGCGUAUUGAGUGCCACGUGGAAGGAAAGAGGAGAUGUUAGUGGUGUGGUGGUGAGAAACAUAGGCCACACGUGUACAGUGCAAAAUCACGGGCAGAGUGGCGGGGCUAACCGGGAUAUUCGGGCACUACCUGUGGUUGGAGAAACAAAAACCUCGGAACAAGUGCCGACGUUAAAGUAAUGACCCACAUCAUGCAUUCCUUUUCUUGUUGUUUAGCACUUUUUUUUAUUGUUUUUAUUAUUUUCACCUUUUAUUUUUCGUCGUGUACCGAACAAAUUUAAUAAAAUUCUUACAAUAUCUUUUUCAAAAGCUAACCAGUAAUAAUAAAAUUUUAAAUUUUAAAUUACUGAUAUCAUCUUCUACUUUAUUUUACAUUUGAAAUCUAUGUUAUUUCCAUUGAAUUUAUGUCAUUAAAAUAAGUUUUUAAGCGUAUAUAUUGUUAAUCAUUAUCAAAAUUAUUAUUUAAAGUAAUUUUUCUAUAAUUUUUUUAUAUUAUUAAUAUUUUAAUGAUUUAAUUAAUAAAUUUAUCGAUAGAUUUAUAUUUAUUAUGCAUAGAAAUUUUCAAAUUGAUUAUAUAUAUUUAUCAUAUAGAUCUAAAAAAAGUAUAUAUAUGAAUAUUCAUUGAAUGAUUGAAAAUUUCUUUUUACAAAAAUCAAAAUUAAAAUUUUUGAAUUUAUGUCAAAUUUGAGAUGAAUGAUCCAUAUGAACGAUAUAUGAAAUAUGAAAGUUAAAUUGUUAAAAUUAAUAGUUACAAAAAAUUAUAAAAUCAUUUAAUUUUACACUGAUAUAAAUAAAUUUCUUUCCAUUACAAAUACUUAAUUAAUUAAAUGAUAAUUCAAAUUAAUUUAUUCUUAUAAUUACCCAAGUGAAGCUCAAUCAUCAAGAUUUAAAAUUCCAAAAGUUCUACUUAACAUUUCAAUCAAACAAGGUUUAAACUCAAAUUUUUUAAUAAUAAUAUAGAUAUGUUAAGGGUAAAUUAGCAAUAUAUGUUGAUUUUGGAACCUUUGUUUUUUCUAUUUAAUGUUGUUUUAAACUUUUUUUUUUAAAUUCAAUUAAUAAUUAAUAAAUAUAUUAUUUUCAAAAUUUUUAAUUAGUCUCUUUAAUUAAUAACUCUUUUUUAUAUAAAUAAAAUAAUAAGCAUGUAAUUAUAUUAUAUAAAUAUGUUUUAUAUAUAUCAUUAUGUUAAAAAUAUUUUUAAUUAAUAACUCAUUUAUUUAUACCUAUAAAUUAAUAAUAUGUCAAUUCUAUAAUGAAAUUAUAUAUUUAUUAGUGUUAAAUAUAUUUUAUUUUUAAGUUAUUUGUUUGAUAUAUUUUUCUAUAUAUUAAAUAUUUAUUUUCUCUUGUAAGUAUAGUAAAUUUUAAUAUUAUAAAAUUAAAAUUAAUUUUUAUUAUAUAUUAAUAACUAAGUUAUUAAUUAAAAAGAUGAAUUAAAAAAUUAGAAAACAAUUUUUUAUUAAUUAAAUAUUAAAAAAAUGUAAAACAAAAAAAUUUAAAUGUAAAUAGGAAAAGAAUUAAACUUGAAAUUUAAGGAUAAAAUUACCAAUAUUUAACCAUUUAACCAAAAAAAUUAAUAUGUUAAGUUAUUAAAAGAAUACAUUUUAUAGAAUGUGUUUUCAAACACGUCAAGAGAAUAUACUUAUUGCAAGAUGCGUUUUAUAUUUAUUUCCAAAAUUAACUGAUUUUCCUAAAUCUACAUUUUCUUCAAAUUUAUCCAAAAUGUUAAAUGUAAAUAAAAUAAGUUAAUUUUAAAAAAUGUAAAUAAAUAACAUUUGAGUUUGACCGGUGAGAUAAAUAAGGGGUAAAAUACCGGGUAAACACCUGUCCAUGCUAUAAGACUUUUUUAGCGUUUAAAAUAAUAAUGGUCUAUUCUUCUUUACUAAAAAAAAAACUAUUUUCAAUGUACAAUUGAUUGGAGAAGAAAUGUAUAUAUGACUUUGUCUAUGAGUGAUUUGUUCUUUUUUCUUAUGAAAUGGUAUUAAAUAUUUUUGUAAGAUUUUUUUUGGUUCAAUUUUUAUGUAAAUUGAUUGGUAUUGAUUUUGCUAUAUAGCAUAAAAAAGAAUUCAACAAUACUUGAUUCCAAAUGAAAACGAAAAUGGAAAACAACUGGCAAUUAAAUAAUUUAUGAUAUUAUUUAAUUUAGCUUUUUUAAAAAAUAAAUUAUUUCAAGGAGAGGCUCCUAUCACAAUAGGACAUCAAAGGCCAAAAAAAACCAUGGCAUGGAUGGCAUCAUUCAUAAUCAUCAUUAUCAAUGAUAAAAAAAUAAAAGGAAGAGUAUGGAACGCGUGGUCCCUACUUUCGAUAGGUUUUUGGGAGGUGGGUCCCCCGUGGAGUUGGAAAGAGAAAGGGUCAUGAAAACGACAAAAUAAUUAUGACCCAAAAAAUAAUAUAAAUAAAAUAAUUUAAGUAAAAGGCCAAAGAAUGACGUUAUUAAGAGGUUGAGUGAAAGGAGAGGCGGUGAGGAUACCGUGAAAUUCCUUUUUUUUUUUGUAAAAUAAAUUAACUAUAAUUAUUUUAUUUUUAAGAAAUUAUUUUAAAAAGGGGGAGUUUAGUGUGUAGUACAAAGUACAGUUGGAGGGCUUCUUGGAAGUUAAAGACAAGUCAUAUUCUCAUUUAUGGCGCGUGGGUCUAACCCACUACUCAUUACUUGCAAGUUGCAAUGCUUUCUUCUUUUUUUUCUUAAUGAUUAGAUUGUACUCUUUUAAACUUUAAGACUUCUUUUUUUUCGAUUUUGCCCAAAAAAAGAAAAAAUUGAAAUGUUAUGAAUUUUCCCAACUUUAGUGAAAGUGGGGCAUGUUACAUUUUGGAUUAUAGUUGUAAUGUUGCAACUAGUUAUGAUACGAAACAAAUUCAAAAUAGUGUUUGUUUAAGGGAUUAAACUUGGCAUACAAUUACAGCAUAUGACAUGAUCAAGGCUUAAAAAUAAACUAUAAGAUCAUACCCUUUUAAGUAACCUUUGCUUGGAAUCCAAAAAUUGCCCUACAUCCACACCCCCCCAAGAUAUUUUUUUCUUCACCUUUGCUCACAUGAACAUGGCAUGCUUGCCCCCCCCCUCAAAAAAAAGGUGAGAUUUAUCAACGAUUAAUUAAAAAAAUAUUAUUUUUACUCAAUUUUUGAGAGCAUUUUGCUAUUUACCAAAAGGGAACUAAAUGAAAAAUUAUUGAUUCUCAAUAAAUCUUUUAAUGAAGAGGGACAAAUAGGAAAAAAAUUAAAAAGCAAAUUUUAAGUUUGGACCUUUUGAAGUAGUGUUUGGAGAGAGAGAGAGCACCCACAACGCAGAGCAAAAGAGGAGCCGAGAAUAUGGCGGUGUAGUCGUUACGUUAACGCGCAGUGGACUAGCGUGGUGUCUGCCUCAGAUAUUGACGUAACGUUAGAAUAUGGAGUGUGGGGCUUUGUCUUCGAAGAUUUAGUCCAUAACACGAGACUACCCAUUUUCUUCUUCUACCCCUCUCUUCUUCCCCAAAUCACCCAUUUGCCAUUUUGCUUCAUAUUAAUUUCACCGCAAACUUGCACUACUAUUUAAGUAAAAUUUAUUUUUCUAAUAUUUUUAUUGUAUAUUUAUACAAGCAAUUUUUUUAAAAAUUUAAGAGAUGAUGUCUUUAUUAAAAAACAAUACAUUAUAUUGGGGAAUGGGAGAUGAUUAUAUGAAAAAUAAUAGUUCUUAUCCGUUAAGAAAAAUCUGAAAAUUAUAUGUAUAUAAAUUAAAGAUAGUGGAAUUAUGAUUAAUAUUUAUUAUUUUUAUGCAAUAAACCUAUUUAAUUAUGUAUUAUUAGAUCAAAUUCUUUUAAUUAGCUUUACCAGAAAAUUUUAAAUUAUUCAUAAAAUAUUUUCAUAAUUCUAUGAUUUAUUGCAGUUGUGUAUUGUUUCCCCUAGUACCUAACUAUUUCUAGAAAAUUUCUAGGAUUUUUAAAAAAAAUUUCUCAACCCAAUGGCAUCAUAGUAAUUAUAAAUCUAAAUGAAUGGCAAUAACCGGAAAUAAUCACAAACUUGGAGAUGCAGGUAUUUUGAGCCAAUGGAUUCACUUGCACGGACUCCUAAAACCUGCCACUGUUUAUAAUUUCUUUUAAGGUAUUUUCCCUCCCAACAAAGAACAAAGCCUCUCCCCCUAUAAAACUCUACCCUAAAUUUCUUCCCCCACUCGUCUUCUUCCUUCUCUUCACCCUUUCAUUUUCCGAUUUCCUUCAAGGAUCCGUAAAGGCCAAGCCGUUAUUUCUCCAACAGAGAGAAAAUACAAAUGGAGUCUUCAGGACCUUCAAGGAGGACUUGUUUCAUCCAAGAAGAUGAUGGAUUGGCUUCCAUUGUAGAUAUGGAGGCUGGAUAUUCAGGAAGCCAUUACCAAAAGGUUAACCAAAAUGGGUUUCUUUCAAGACCUCUUUGUUACUCUAGAAGGAGUAGUUUGAGGAAUCUAUCUUCUUUUUCUUCGUCAUCUUCUUCUGGUUCAGUUUCUUCUCCGAGGCCUGCUCGCUUUUAUGAUGCCAGAUUUGAAGACGUUCAUCAACCCUAUUUCUUGGAUGUUUGCUUUCUUUGCAAGAAGCCUCUUGGGUGUAACCGUGACAUCUUCAUGUACAGGUUCGUCCUUAAUUUUCAGUCUCUUAGAAAGAAAGAUCAGAAUUUUGGGAAGGUCGAUUGGAUCUUUCUAUGCAUAUUUGCUUAAUGAAUUUUCCCCUUUAAAAAUUUUCUUAUAAGUCUAGUAGACAGAUUUGGUUUUUGCUGAUUGGUGUUUGGUUUUUUUGCAGAGGGGACACACCUUUCUGCAGUGAAGAUUGCAGACAAGAACAAAUCGAGAUAGAUGAAGCUAAAGAAAAGAACAUGAACCUUUCUUCCUCAGUGAAAGCUAUGAGAAAAAAGGGCCAAAGGGAGUCUACAUCUCCGAAUGAAGCUCAAGGUUACUCUAUUCGAACUAGCACAGUUGCAGCUGCUUAAAUCACACCACAAAGGAAAUAAACAAAAACAUAUCUAUAUAUCUAUAUAUAUAUGAAUAGUUCAAAAAAAAAAAGAACAGAAGAGAAAGGUGAUGGAGAUCAUUAAUGAAGAAAAGGGCCAAGGAGAGAGGAGAGGAUGAAGAAAUCUAUAUUUUGAGUGGUUUGUUAUACCCUUUAUAAAACAUACUGCUAUAGUUUUAGCUCUGUGAAUGUUAUAUCUAUAUGAGGAUAUGAAAUUAGCCUGCCCAGGAUCUACUCUAUGAUAUGGCUCCCUUUUUCUUUUUGGGGUUUUUUGGGGGUUAAUUACUGGUUAGAUUUUAUUUUUUUGGGGUUCUUAAGAAAUGUUAAUGCAUCACGAAGAAUGAUGAGAACUGUUUUUUUUUCAUUUCUAUUUUUAGUAUCACUAAUGUUUAAUGAAAAUGACAUAAAUGGAACUUAUUGAAAAAGCUGUUAAUUUUGAUUUUCUAUUUCAUUGUUAAGGUUAUUUGUUAUUGCACUUGCUCAUCUUUUUUUCCCUAUUGAGGCAUCUUAAGUUGAAAGGGUGAAGUGGGAAUAUGGAGAAAGAAGGAAAAAGUGGGUUACUUUUUCUGGUAAAAAAGCAUUGCUUCCUAUAUCAGAAAUGGUGGGUGUCACUGCCACAGCCAGAGUUCCCACCAGGGAAACAAUGGCUGAGGCUUCAUCAUCAAUUGGAAUUUCUUCUUUCUACCUUUUGGGACCAUUUUGGACCUAAUUGUAUUGGAUGUGUAAAGCACAAUUUUUUACUUUUAUGUUGGAAUGUUGAAGAAUGGGGAAAUGGGUUGAGAUUUCUAGAGACCAGUACCAAAGAUCUGUGUGGGAAUUGAUGAACUAAAGGCCAGAGGUCGAGAUGAUUAUUGAACAAGGCUAAAGGGGGUAAAUGGUGAUGAUUUUUAAGUAAUCGCAGUUCAACCAGAAGUGAUUGGAGCCAUUGUUUUGAGUUAUGGACAUAAGACUAAACAUUUAGUAUCAUCACACCAAAGAGCUGAUAGCGAGGAAUUUAGGGUUGGGCUUUACAUUUAAGAGGGUCUAAACUGAACUCUAAAGGUAAAAAUAACAUGGAUUCUUGUAGGGGCCAACCCAAGGGAUUAAUGAUAUACAAGUCCAUGAAUCCAAAUGGCCUGCCAUGAUGCCUUUAUUUUCAUAGAAAAUCUAGUCAAAAAACAUGUAGCCAGAAUUAUUUUAAUUGGAUCUCGCAAUUCAUUCAUUUAUUUGAUUUAAUUUUAAUCUAAUCAAGUUUAAGGUGUCAUGUAAGGUAAUGGAAAUACUCUUUUUAAGUUUCAAGACAAUGUGAGGAUGUACAAAAUGGUUUUAUCAUGUGGAAGAAACUUUACGAUGUACUAUGAUUUUAGUUGGCUUUGGUUUGAAUUAGAUGGAUUUAUACUAUAAUAAAGAUUUUAACUAAAUUUAGUGUCAUUUGAUUAGAUGACUUAAUUCAAUUGCUUUUUCUAGAAAAAGAUGGAACUGAUAGGAAAAAUAUCCGACAAAGCAAAACAAUAAUAAAAAUAAGAAGUCUAUUUAAAUCCAAGUCAUUAGGCUUAUUCCAUAUAAUUUCUAAACUCGAUAAUUUCUCAGAAUAAACAAUACUAACAAUAGUAGAAGGACAAAUAGUGUAAUCCAUGUAAUUUAUUAUCAAUAAAACCCCCUUGUCAAAACAUGGACAGUCUUAUUAGCAUCCCUGCAAAUUGAAAAGAAGGAAAAGAAUUGGAAAGCAGAGUCAAAUCCAAUCCUUUAAUAAUAAUCCAGAAUUAGAGGCAUCCACGUAACCAUGAUGAAAAGUUCGUCAAAGCCCUUGACUAUCAGUCUCUAUUACAACAUUGUCCAAAUGCAAAGACAUGAGGCAAGAAAGGGCCCCCGUUACAGCAAGAAUUUCUGACAAAAAAGGAUCAAGUGUACUCUCCAUGAAACCCGAAAUACAUUGCAUGAAGUCACCUGCAUCAUUUUGCACAACCACCACCCAUUGUGAGCAAAAGUGGCCCAUCAACAUUAAAUUUUAUCUUUCCCUUUCCAACCUAAGAUAACAAACAUCCCUCACGACCAUCGCAUGCGAAAUCGAUUAAAAAGUAUGAAUCAAAUAUAAAUAUCUAUUUACUUUAAAAACCUCGUGUACAUAUAUAUUUCAAAAGGAAUUUUUUAAUUAUCACAUAUAUUGUUUUUCUUAACGCAAAUUUAUAAGUAUAAACACAAUGAUAUAUUAUCCACAUAACUAAAAAUACAAAUACAAAUACAAAUAAAAAUAAAAAAUAAAAUGACAAAAUAUAAUUGAGUGGAAAAUAAAAUAUAUUCUAAUAUAAACUAAAAUGAAUAUAAAAUAAGAUAAUAAAGUACAAUUAAAUACCAAUAAAUUUUUAGUGGAACGAUAAGACACAUUACAUUUAAAUUUAUAUAUUAUUAAAGGUGAGUUUAAAUGGACGACGCAUUUAUUUACGGUUAGUGUAAAAACUACGGUGGUAAUAAAAUUAAAUAUUGUAAUAUGAAAUAAAAAGUAAAUUAAACGCAGUCUAAAUCCACACUAAGACGACUCUAAAUAUAUACCAUAAAAAAAGUACACACAGUUAAGUAAAGACGUGAUUAGCUUAGACAUGAUUUCUCUUUCUCAAACAUUAAUUGAUUACUUAAUUUUUCUUUUUAUAAAUGGGCUUGUGUGCUGGCAUUUCUUCUAUAAAACAAAUCUUAUCUUCUAGGAAAAUUAUUUUUGCAAAACCAAUAAAAAGUACAACUACUUUCGAAUCUCUUAUAUUAAGAUUUAAAUUGUAUUUUAUUCAUUUAUUUAAAAAUAAGUAAAUUAGUCAUUGUAAAUUAAAUUAAAAAGCAAAUUGGUCGUUUUUGUUAAAAAUUUCAUUAAUUUCUAUUGUUAAAAACCGAUAUUGCUAAUGAAAUAAAUAGAUAAUCACACGUGACAUGCCACAUAUACCUAAUGAUGACAUAUAAAAACUAAUUUUUAAUAGUAAAAAUAGAUAAUUUUUUAAUAGAUAGAGUAGUUUGCUCUUUGAUAGAAUAUAUAGUCACUAAUUUACCCAUUUUUUAGUAAAGGGGUAAAAUGUAAUCCAACUAGAAGUGUAAGGCCUCUAUGAGAAUUUUACCACUAAUAAAAUAUUUACCUUAUAAAAUAGAAGUGGGGAAGCUGGUGAGAAAUUAACAGAAUGGUCACAAAAUAACAGUUGAAACAGUUAAGGCCAUCCACGUGGCGUGAGGUGUAUGGUUGAAGCUCGUCGGCAAACUUGAAGUUUACAUUACCCGCUUAAAAACGGAAGUUAGAAAAAAUCCUCUACUUUCUCAGAAUAGAUCACAUCGCAGUUUCUCAUUUCCCUCGCUUCACUUAUUUUGUUCACAUAUGGACGGACUGAUCAAGGGUUUACUGGACGUCGCUAUUGGCCACGAGGGACAUAAUGAGUCUCAAGAUGAACGCCCCAGAUCCAGUUCGGCGCAGGUUAGUUUGGAUUUCUUCUUCUCAUCUUUUGAUUUCUUAUGUUAUAUCUUAGUUAAAAAAGAAAAAAAAAAUUGCUGAUUGAGUUUGAUAAUGUUCGCAGGCGGUGUCAGGGGAUCAGGAUCACCAACGAGAUGAACGCUCCAGAUCCAGUUGGGCGCAGGUUAGUUUGGAUUUCUUCCUCUGAUCUUUUGAUUUUUUUAUGUUAUAUCAUAGUUAAAAAAUAAAAAAAAAAAUUGCUGAUUGAGUUUGAUAAUGUUCGCAGGUGGUGUCAGGGGAUCAGGAUCACGAAAAACAGGUUUUCCGUUUAUUUGAUGAAUAUUGUCUCUUGUAUCUGAAAUUGGAGCACGUUGAAGUGAUGGUUCAUUGUUUUAUUGUUAAUUUGGGAAUUUUAUUGAUUUCGUAGGUGCAGAGUCAAUGGCAGGGUUCGGGUUCAAGACCUUCGGGGAGGACCCACAAGGUAAAUAUCGAAAAUUUCAUGGGUACAAUUCUUAAGAGUUGUAUAGAUUCAUUUGCUCUUUGUUCUUUUGGGUUGGAUAUUUGAAAUUUUGAUCGUUACCCUAAAUCUGAAUGCGGUUUAUUAUCAAAUAUCUAUAAACCUCUAAUGCAGACCGAGUAUGGGGGAUAUGAAAAAAAUGAAGGUGAUGAGCGACGACAUGGUUAUAACCAAAAUAAGUGGAACAGAAAGGUUGCCUCUUGCUUUUGAUUUACUGGUCUAUACUUUUUUCUUUGUUUUAGUAAAAUCUAUAUUUGUGUGUGCACUGACUUACCCCAAAUUUCGCAUACAGGAGCAAGGAGAGGAGAAUAAUGAUGGCUGGGAAACUGUUGGCAAAAAGCCUCGAAGACGGCCACAAAAGGUGCGUCACUAUUCUUUCUCUGUUUUUUGAUAUCUCAAGUUUUAAACUGACAAAUACUAAUGCAGUUGCCGUCUUGGUGUCGUUUCUCUCAUUGUUUUAGAUUUACAUUUCUUUUAAGUUGAACGAAUUGUGUUAAAUUUUUGUUAGAAACGCGUAGAUGUUUGAUGUAUAAUAUAGCAGUAGCACAAUGACAUUAGAUUUAUUUGCAUUAGGUAGAUUAGUAUUUACUUCAUUCCUUACUAGUUUUUCUCUCCAAUAUUUUUAACCAUUAUCAACUUUGUGAGGGCGAGCCUUGGUAGCAAUGUGAACUUGAUCCUUGGUAACUGGAAGGUCAUGGAUCCAAGUAGUGGAAAAGCAGGGAAAUGCUGCGUAAGAUAAAUGACUGCCUCAACCCUCACAAAGCAGGGAGCCUUGUGCACUGGGAAAUACCCUUUUGUCAGCUAUGGCAUUUGUAGAUGACUUCUAUUUGUUUUAUCUGGGGGUUCUGUGGUCAUUCUCUGUUUUGUUCUGUUUGAACCACCGUGUUUAAUAUUUUUAUGAAUGAAACAUUUGCAGGUUAAUAUGGAUCACUGGCAAGGGUAUAAACGACCUCCUAGUGAGCAAGAAUACUCUGAUGAGGUUGGAACUGGUACUAGCAUCGAACCUUCAGAAGAGGAACUUGCUGACUUUUUGCAAGCUUGCAACAGGCUGUGGCAACUUGAUUUAAACCGUCUGGAACCUGGAAAGGAUUAUCAAAUUGACUGUGGUGAAGGGAAGAAGGUUUUCCAGAAGGAAGAUGUGGCAGAAGGAAGCCUAUUUUGUUAUGUUAAUGAGGACAUUUUUAGAACAAAACCUACAUUUGCUCGUUUUUGUUCUCUCUUGGAUAAUUACAACCCAAAUGCUGGGUGCAAGGAAGUUGUUACAUCUGAGGAGAAACAAGAGCAGGCUGCAUUUAUCGAAGAAAUCAGUAGAACUGCGCCUAUUCAAUAUCUUCACAAGUACCUGUCUCGGAAGGGCAUUGUAUCUGAAAACUAUCAAGAUUUCAAAAGAAUGUUGACAAGCCUAUGGUUUGAUCUUUAUGGUCGAGGAGGUACAUCUGGUUCCUCUUCUGCUUUUGAACAUGUUUUCGUUGGGGAAAUCAAGCAACAUUGUGAGCAAGAAGUUAGUGGCUUCCACAAUUGGCUUCAGGUGUGUUAAUGUAUCUUUUAAUUGUUUGUCAAUUCAACUAGGUUACUGCAAUCAUUAGUUCAUGACCUGGUUUAUUUUAUACCAUCGAGUUGUCUGGAAGCAAUACUGAAAUAUAAUAAUUUUCUUAGAAUAACUUUUCAUUUACAUCUGAUGGAGCAAAAUGGAAAAGGUUCAUUAAAAUUUUGAAAUGUUGGUUGCAAUGCGUUGGUGAUAGUUAUAUCCUCUUUACGUCUGAAGUAUUUAAAAUAUCAAUUUCUACUUGCUAGUAUUUUAAUAUGUUGCCAACCCUUGUCACAAGCAUACCUUAAUACAUUUUGUUUUCAGAAGUUGAUAUUUAGGUGCCAUGUAGUAGAUGUGUAUUGCUAAUCCUUUAUUACGUUUUCCAGUUUUACCUAGAAGAAGCAAAAGGAUGUGUUGACUAUCAUGGUUAUAUAUUACCCCGAAGACGUGGGGAAACUGUAAGUCUCAGUUUGACUUGUUUCUGUUUCUCUCUGCAUCUACUGCAUUUUAUGCACUCUUCUAAGUUUUGCAAUAAAUGGAAGAAAAAGAAGAAAGUUCUUUGUAAUCACAUUUGAUAAAGAAUUGAAGUUCUAGAUCAUUGUAGUUAAUAAUAUUAGGUUGAACUAGGAGGAAAACGUUGUUCACACCCACUUUCAAUAUUUAAUAUCACUCUGCAUGUGUUUCUUUUGCAGCCUGACUCCGAGACACAGUUGCUAACAGUUCAGUUCGAAUGGAAUGGGGUUCUUAAAUCCGUGUCAAGUACAUUGGUUGGGGUGAGUCCUGAGUUUGAAAUUGCUCUCUAUACUCUGUGUUUCUUCGUGGGUGGAGAGGAUAACUAUGUACAGCUGGGUCCAUACUCUGUUAACAUCAAGUGCUACCGAUUUGGAAAUAAAAUCGGUUCUGUAUUUCCAAUAGCAGAAUGAUGAUUUUCAGCUCUGUGUGUUAUUAUUAUUAUUGUCCAGAAGCUACAGAAACACUGUAGACAUCAUGUUCAUGUUACUGUCUAACUUUAGUUUAUGAUAUAUCAUAACAUAUCUUUUACUUGGAUCUUUUAACUUACAAAAUUGAUAAUUAUGAUAUGUGUAAAACUUACAUGCUAUGUUGAUAUGCAUUCCCCUAUAGCUUAAUCUUUAUGAUGAUUGAGGAAUCAAAAUCUGCAUAUAGUUCUGAACUAGUGAGUUUACCAUGUGUUACUGGUUUGGAGAAUUUCUACCUAAGAUUUCAACGAAAUUGGGUCGUGCUUGGUCUUGACAGUGUUCCACCCUUAGGCUUAGAAGUUAAUGGCCAAAGAACUGAUUGUUGGUAAAAUGGAAAUAACUAAAGGAGACUUUGGCCUCACCCUUUCACACUCAUUUGUAGUCAUCAGCUGCACCUGUUUGUUUCUUCUUCUUCUUCUUCAUUCUUCUUUAUUGUUGUUUUCAUUUUUCAUUCAAAUGAUAAUUCUCAAACUUGUGUUGGUGAAGAUUGAUUAGAGAAAGGCUUUAGGGUGUUGUUUGAUCAAGUUGGGGGGGGGGGGAAUUGACUUGUGAAAAUGAUGUUAUGGAUUCUUUCUGUAUCAUUAAAAGGAAUCAAUCGUUCAGUGCCGUUUAUAUAUUACAUGCAGAUGGAAAAAUAUCCUAAGCAGCCAUUAUCAACGUUGGUUGAAAAUAUCUUUUUUGAGGGUUCAUCAGAUAUUUAUAAAGGAACCCCUCUUUGAGCUAAGUUAAAAAGAUCAAAUUGCUAGCUUCUUGAGAACCCAAAACUUAAAAUGGAAAUAUCUAACAUGAAAGAGAGGACAGCAACUCUCUUCUUAUCACCAACAUGUUCAUAGGUCAAUUGUCUGCUUAUAAUAUUUCACAGAAAACUAUCCCUCUUUUUCUAUUGAUAUCUUGAUAAGAGUGUACUAUGCCACAACUAGUUAUGGCCGUUAGGUGAACACACACACACGCACACAAAGUUGCAACGAUUAACACAAAAUAAUCACAAAAUAAUCACAAAAAGAGAUGAACAUCAGUAUGACAAUUUCAAAGUGGUGUAAUUUCAUUAAAUCAUUCCUUUUGCUUUAAUAUGCUUCUGAAAUAGUUGACUUCUGAGACAUUCCAAUUAAAGAUGGUUUGUUCAAUGUCUUAAAUCUAUACCUAAUAAAACUGUCCUCUACGAGGAAAGAAAUUAGGUAACCAACUUAUGUUACUUAAUUAUCCAAAGCUGCUGGAAAGGACAGCAAAAUGGCGUAUCCAAUAUGUACUCAGAGAUGAAAAUAAAGUUGCGGAUUUUCUUGCAAAAAUGGAUCGUAGUAAGGAAGACGUGUUAGUUCUGUUUGAACAACCUCUGUUAGGGGUUUUAGUUUAAGUCUCUGCAAAAAAAAAAAAAAAAAAAAAAAUCCAAAGCUGAUCACUUAUUAAAAAAAACUGGGAAAUUUUUGGGGGGAUCUUGUUGGCAUUGAUUGUGAAAGAAAAGAGCAAUGUCCCUACUUGAAAUUUGAAAUGUGAAACCAGUAGGGAAAUGGGGUCGUUUUUUCCCUCUUUCUUCUGUCCACAACACUCACGUGUAUAUGUAUAUCUAUCAAUUUGCUCCACAAAACACACGUAAAUGGUGAGCAUGAGAAUUGAAGAACCUGAUUGGCUCAAAAUAGCUAAACCUCAAUAGUCAAUAGUCUUCCCCCAUGCAAAACGCCAAACUUUAAUCAGCCAUUGACGUGUCUCCUCUUUGGCACCGACAACUCUGACACCUCAUUUCUUGCAUUUGCAUCUUCAUUUGUUUCCUUCCUCAAAUCUCAAACCCACACAUGGAUGCUAAACCAGCUAGCCAACACGUAUUGAUGACAUGGACGAAUUUUGUUCCUAUCUGCAACAUUUAACAUUUCUGAUUCAACUGCUUGAUUAAAGUACUGUUUAGCAUAUGAUAUAUUAGUAUAAAUCAUUUGGAUAUAUCAAUAUAAAUGGAAAGAAAAUUCCAACAAAAAAAGAAAGCACAGACUUCAACUACAGCCACAUGCAUUUCCAAAUGAAAACGGAUUCUCCAAUCUUCUUAUCCUGAACCAACCAAAGCCAAUGAAAAUUGAAAUCCUAUUAACUUGUCAGCCACUAAAAUUCUCAUAUGCAAAUUAGAGGCUAACUGGUUUGCAAGUUGCUAGAUCAUUUAGUUGUCAACCAAGCUAAUAAUUUUAUUGUAAAGAGUUACUUAUUAUCACCAGUAUGAUUAUUUUACAUAACUGAAGAAAAUAUAUAGAAAAUUCACUUCAUUCCCAUGAAUAAAUGAAUAAACUAUUGAUUAAGGCCUGUUUUUUAUUCACCAUGAGUUGUGCCAUUAACAAGAUUCAAAAUAUCUCUUCUAAAGAUAUUUCUAUGUGUGCUUUAGUGUAUGCCAUUGCUACUUACUAUUGCACAUAACACUUGUUGGUAACUAUUUUCCUUUUUAUCCUAUAACAAAGAACAACCAAAUUGUGGAUAUAUCCACCUUUAAUAAGCAAAAUAAUCACCAAAACCUACACCCAAAGGCAUUCAGUUGUUCCAAAAGAGGGUAUUCGUGACCUUUAAAAACUUAAAACUUUUAGGAUCUUCAUUUUGUGAAGCAUGGACAUGGAAUGAUCGCGUUUUAGAUAAUGACCUUUGAAAAGUUGAGGUGACUAGUUUGAUCUUAUGCACUUUUUCCCUUUUAAACGGAGCCCACCAAUAUUGUGUUCUUCUAAAGCUCUGACCCAAGGUUCAUUUUAUAAAUGGAUGUAACCCAUCUUCAUUCAUUCCAAUAUCUGUUUUCCCUCUCUUCAUUUACCAAAAAAACAUGGCCUUAACAUUACGUUCUUCUACUUCUUUCAUCAAACUCAAAGAAACCAACAGCUUCAAAACUCCUGAUGACUUCUUAGGCUCCAUUUCUUUUGCUCAAAUGAAGCCAUCCUGCCGAAUCCGAGCAAGGAAUUCGAUGUCGAUGCAGGAAGCACCGCUGGUGCAUGGGAAAAUCUCGACCAAGGAAACCGAGAAGUUAUACGGUCUAACAAUUUCCCAUGCUGAAAAUAACUCAAAGGUACCUGUUUAUGUGAUGUUGCCACUAGACACAAUAACUCUAGGGGGUAGCUUGAAUAAGCCACGGGCAAUGAAAACAAGUUUGAUGGCCUUAAAGAGUGCAGGUGUCGAAGGGGUUAUGGUUGAUGCUUGGUGGGGCUUAGUAGAGAAAGAUGGACCUUUAAACUACAACUGGGAAGGGUAUGCUGAGCUUGUGAAAAUGGUUGAAAAACAUGGUCUAAAGCUCCAAGUUGUCAUGUCGUUUCAUCAGUGUGGCGGCAAUGUUGGAGACUCUUGCAGGUAUUAUUUUAACAUCCUGUGUUUCUGGUUUUUCUUCUACUGAUAAAAUUUGUGUACGUAAACCUGAAAUUUUAUCUGCUUGAAUGUUUAGUAUCCCAUUGCCUCCAUGGGUGCUUGAAGAAAUCAGCAAAAACCCAGACCUUGUCUACACAGAUAGAUUGGGACGAAGGAAUCCCGAGUACAUUUCCUUGGGAUGUGACUCAGUUCCUGUUCUCAGAGGAAGAAAACCUAUUCAAGCUUACACAGAUUACAUGAGGAGCUUCCGUGAGAGGUUCAGAGAUUACUUGGGACGAGUUAUUGUGGUAUAGCAUCUAUAAAACUCAAACUACUACUGCUAGUUUAGCACAGGAUACCUUAGUUUUAUCCAAAAUCUUAUGAAAUUCUACAUAUUAUCUUUACUGGAAGAUCUAGGACAGGCAAAACAGAAAAUACAGAUAAAUAAAUUUUAAGUUUUAUAUGAUCCAAUCAUACACAAAGGCAACUGUUAUAAAACUGAUUGUGCUUAUUCUGGGGAGAAAUAGAAAACACGUAAACUUUGCAGCUAAAUAUCACAAGCAACAAGAUGAAUGAAUAUGAAUGGGUGUAAGGAGAUAGAUUUAGAUUAAAGAAAAUAGAUACUACAAAAGCGUCGUUAUCGUUUCGUAUUCAUGUUAUUUUUCAGUGUAGAAUCCAUCCAAAUGAUGGACCACAGACGCCUACCCAACAUGUUUAAAAUACCAAAAUAUGUCAAAUAUAAAAGUUUUGGCACUUUCGUUUCUUUACUCAAGUGGUGGAUGAUGAUAUUCAUUUUUAUUUUAUUUUUUGGAAGCUCUAGAAAUCUAAAUGUAAUUUCUAUUUCAGGAAAUUCAAGUGGGGAUGGGACCAUGUGGGGAACUGAGAUACCCAUCUUAUCCAGAAAGUAAUGGAACGUGGAAAUUUCCUGGAAUUGGAGAGUUUCAGUGCUAUGAUAAGGUAAAUUUUAUGAACUAAAUGAAGUUUCUCUUUUAUUUAUGUUUUCAGAUAUAGCACAUAACUUGAAUGAUCAAAACUUAGAUAUGGUAGAUUCCUAAUUCCUAAACAAGAUAAAAUGUUUUAACUUACAGUAUAUGAGAGCUUCCCUGGAAGCAGCGGCGGAAGCCAUCGGGCAAAAAGACUGGGGAAAAGGUGGUCCACAUGAUUCUGGUCAUUACAAGCAAGUUCCUGAAGAAACUGACUUCUUCAAAAGGGAUGGAACAUGGAACACCGAGUACGGACAGUUCUUCCUAGAAUGGUACUCCAGGAAGCUACUCGAGCAUGGAGACCGAAUACUUGCGGCUGCAAAAGGAACAUUCCAUGGAACAGGAGCAAAACUAUCAGCAAAGGUUGCUGGGAUUCAUUGGCAUUACAGAACAAGGUCACAUGCUGCUGAACUAACAGCUGGUUACUAUAACACCAGACAUCAUGAUGGUUACGUCCCAAUAGCACAAAUGUUCAGUAAACAUGGAGUUGUUUUCAAUUUCACUUGCAUGGAAAUGAGAGAUGGGGAACAACCUGAAUAUGCAAACUGUUCACCCGAGGGAUUAGUCCGGCAAGUAAAAAUGGCAACAAAGAUAGCCAGGGUCGAACUUGCCGGAGAAAAUGCACUAGAGAGGUAUGAUGCUGGUUCAUAUGCACAGGUUUUGGCAACGAGUAGAUCGGAUUCAGGCAACGGAUUGAGUGCAUUUACAUAUUUAAGGAUGAACAAAAGGUUGUUUGAAGGGGACAAUUGGAGGCAUUUGGUGGAAUUUGUGAAGAACAUGUCGGAAGGAGGUAGAAAGAUUUCGGAGUGUGACAGCCGAGGAACAAACCUUUACAUUGGGUUUAUCAAAGACAAGACUGUUGAGAAAAAGGAGGUUGCUCUGGUAUAGAAACGAUGUACAGAGUCCAUGAACAACAGUAUAUAAUUAGUGUAUCAUGUAUAAGCUAGAAAAAAAGGAAAAGCAAAACAGAGCAAAGAUUACAUCCAUAUACAAUAUAAUUUUUUGCAUCAUAUGUCAAACUAGCAGAUAGGUGAAAAACAUAAUAGAGAAUAUAACAUCUCCAUAAAUUAUAUGGAGGAUUUCAUUCAAUUUAAAUCCAUGCAUCCAAAAUCAGUAAAUGAUGUCAAUCAUGCCAUUAUUAAUACAUGAUAUUCAACUUUAAGAGGAACAUAUUCAAUUAUUGCCAGAUAAAUGAGUUAAAUAAGGAAAUCAAACCACCUCAGGCUAUGGUUGCGCAAAGGAAAUAAAAACAGACUAUCCUAAUUAGCAGUUAAUAGCUAAUAUAUAAAAGUACAAAUACAUGCCUAUACUGUGUCCACCUAGAAGCAUCCUCAAAUCGGAUCUCUCACCAAGAAGAAGAAGAAGAAACAAAUAUCAAACACGGCGAAGACUUUCGAUCAAGUCCCCGAGUUCUUUACGACCCGAGUCUCUGCCAAACAUGAAUCCAUACCAGAAUAAUUUUUUGUUUCCAAAAACACAAAAAAGCAAAUAUCAAACUUUAACACAAGAGAUUCUAGAGCAAGUGAAUAGAAAGAAAGGGAGAAGCAAUCGAUACCAGUAAGACACCGGCGGUGGCAAUGGUUUGAACUUUGAAUGAGACGUUUUUUUCUCCGUUUUCUAUUUCUUUCCCGCGACUGUACGGAACUUUUUUUUUUUUUGGCUUAAUUCAUUAUUUGCCCUUAAAAUAUACUCACUUUUUCACUUUGAUAUUUAAUUUUUUUUUAUCUCAAUUUGAUACUUAAAAAUGUCAAUUUUCUUUAUUUUUAUCCAAUUUGUAACCACUGUUAACAAAAGACCGUUAGCCAAUUUUUAGCCAAUGACAAAGCCUCAUAUGGCAUGUUUUGGCCAAAAAAAAAAUGUCACUUAACAAUUAAAUUUAUUAAAAUAAAAACAUUAAAUUUAAAUUUUAAAAAAUAAAAAAUUAUAAUAUUAAAUAUUUAAAUAUUAAAAAACAUUUUUUACUUUAAUUGACUGACCAUAAUAAAUUGAGCAAUGAUCAUUUCCUAAAAUAAUUUUCUAAAUUAAUACCGUACUGGCCGCCGCCCGAAAUGUUGGAUAAAAGCCCUUUUUUUCUUUUUCUUUUUCUUUUUCUUACCAACGGAGAAUCCAACCAACAAAAAAGAUAUCAGCAAACACCGCCUUUUUGAUCAACAAAGAAAUUUAAAUAUCAAUUUAAUGCAUAACAAUUUAUAAUGGCUGCUAUAAUUUACAAGCAUACAUUAUGCUAAAAAAUUUCUUCAAAUGGCCAAUACCUCAAUGAAGAAAAGGGCUCUCAUUCAAAGUGAAAUAUCCACGGAUUCAGAGUUCAAACCAGUGAAACAAAAGCAAAAGACAUCUUAGUCGCUAAUAUAUGCUUUCUUGAUUGGUUAUCUGCUAAAACAUCAGAUCAGAAGUACGUUUAUUUCCCCCCGUUUCUCGAUGAGGGUGUAAGAGGAGGAGCCUUGUUGGCUGAAGAGCUUCCUCCCGAUUCUUGUAUUGCUUGCUUCAAGCUCUCUACCACUUCGCUCAUUGUUGGUCUUUCCUUGGCAUUUUUGUUUAGGCAGCUAUUAGCCAACUUUCCUACCUUUUGAGCUGCACUCGAAGAGUAACUGUUACCAAGUCGAGGGUCUAUUAGCAACCUGAACUUUUUACUAUCCGGAGGGAACUCUUUCACCCAAUCUAACAGCUUCUGCUCCAAUGGUGGCCGGUUCCUUUCCACUGCUCGCCUCCCUGUGAGGAUCUCAUAAAGUACCACCCCAAAAGUCCAUAUAUCACUUUGAAUUGUGAGAUGGCCUGUUUUCACAUAUUCUGGGGCAGCAUAUCCGUAUGUUCCGACCACCUUUAACAAAAGAAAACAAACCAUUUAUUUAGUAUCCUAGUGAUAAUGAGUGCCUAAUGCGCUAAAGAGCUAUGUUAGUGCUACUAAUGCACCACUUAAAAAGAUAUUGACAGUCAGUGAAAAGCGAAACAGUGGAGCCAACCAAGAAGGAUGCAAUGAAGAUGCUUUGCAGACAUUGAAUUGAGUCCGAAUUCAGUAUCUACUUACCGCAGUGGAUACGUGAGUACGAUCAUCCGUUGGCCCUUCCCUUGCAAGCCCAAAGUCUGAGAGCUUUGGCUUAAAACUUUCAUCCAAGAGCACAUUCGAGGACUUGAAAUCUCGAUAUAUCACCUUUACAAAUAGCCAAAAGGCAGAUCAGAGAUAACCAUCGUUAAUGAAGUGAUAUGAAUAAAAGAGGGAUGUACCUUGACUUCCAAUCCCUCAUGUAGAUAAGCCAAGCCUUGUGCUGCACCAAGCAUAAUCUCUAACCUUGUUUUCCAAGGUAAAGUUGGUGUCCUCUUAAAAAGAUGAUCUUCUAAGCUCCGGUUAGGCAUGUAUUCGUACACCAGCAACCUAUGAAUCCCUCUUUCCCCGUCUACCGAACAAUAUCCUAAAAGUUUUACCAGGUUUGGAUGGUUAACGACUCCGAGAAAUUGAACCUCCGCAAGCCAUUCCUUAUGACCCUACAUGUGGUUACUCCAAAAUACCAUAAGAAACAGAAACGAUUCUCAAAAUAAAGUGAUAUUGGAAGCUACUAGACAGACAAACAGACAGAGAAACAUCUCAUGGUCCAAAGCAAGAAUGGCUGAUGGUAUCUUUGUCUGAGAUCAAAAUAUUUUGGAUCAUUACAAGAUUAUUAUUAGUAUCAUGGUCCAAUCAUUGUUGCAAUCAGCCUUACAGCACAUCAACAGUACUUAUUCACUAGACUUAGAGGUGUAAGUCAAGAGUUGUGUGAACCAAAUUCCUAUUAAAAUUCUGUGUUCUAUUUUCUUCCCUUUUUAUGAUUUAUUGUCAUUAUUCACGUUCAAUUUUCAGACCACCCUUACAGUGCUGAAUUUUCAGACAAAUUUAAAGGAAGAAAAUGAUUUUGCAGCUAGUACCUGUAAACCCUGAGUGUUGAGCUUCUUGAUAGCAACAACUAUAGGAUCACCUCGACCAUUUGGAGGAGUAAUACUUCCCUUAUAAACACCCCCAAAACCACCCUCACCGAUCUUUAACAACUUGUUGAAACCAUGUGUGGCAUCCCUCAACUCUUGUAACGAGAAAACUCUCAAAUUAUGCUCUUUUUCUUUGUACAGCUCUGGUAUGCCCCUUGGAGAUGGCAAAGACCUUGAUGAUGUCCGAGUCUGACUCAGGGCUGAAUUAUCCGAUUUACUUUGGUUUCUCAGUUCAGGAGCAGUUCUUGAUUCUCUUUUCUUCUUCUUUGAUUUGUCCUUGAUGAAGAUAGAAAAACACUUCAUGUCUAAGUUUUUAUCAAAAUAAAAAAAUUUUCCUGCUACCCUCAAAUUUGUUCUAUCAAGUUGCAACCUUUCCUUCACAUUUAACUUAUGAACCCAAGGAGAAAAACUGAAUUUUGAACGAGGAACGAGUAAACGUAUGAAGAAAACAGAGAAAGAAAAUGGACCCAGAAAAGUCUUGGUGCCUAGGAGUGGAAAAUGGAGAAGAAAAAGCAAAAUAUAUAACAAAUGAAGAUAAAGAGAUGGAAUUUUAAUACAACAAAGGGUAGAAACAAUCAAUGAAAAGUGAAAACCAGACAAGAAACAGUAAAAAGAAACCCCAUCCGGACAAAUAUACACCUGAAUCCUCCUUUACCGACUGAGGAUAGAUGAGAAAAAUAUAUGAAUGACAUGAGAGAAGAUGGGAUCAAGAAAUAUAGGAAGACCCACUCAAGAAAAAUACGCUAAUGUUCUAAAGCACUACUGUUUUGACAUUUCUAAAAUGGAAAAAGGUGGCGCUAGUAAUAAAAUAAUCCUACUCUAUACCGCGUUUUGUUUGGUUUCUUCGUAAAUGUUGUAUGGACUUAUUAAUUAGCAUUCAGUAACAAUUAAAAACAAGUGGACCAUCUUCGUGCUUGUUUACAUUGUUGAUGUUGUUUGAAAGGAACAGUGUCCCAAAACCAAAGAAAACAACAUCCAAGUUUCCAUUUAUUUUGUGGUUAGGAAAGUAGGAUAUGAUUAUAAUUUUCAACAAUAUGCCGCAUACCUUUUUCAUUCAUUUCAACACGGCUGACGCAACUAUGUCAAACGUGAAGAUUUCACUUCCUUAGUUCUUUAUUAAUUUCUUUCACAUUUUCUGACUACUUCAACAUUUAGAGGCGAUUGCUACUAAAACAAUUUUCUACUUUUUUAUGGGACUGUCUUCAACCAUUGAUCUUAUUUCUUUUUCAUGUUUAUUAAACUGUUAAAUUUGUGGUGUAUCCUAGCGUAAUAUUUUGAUCAUGAUGACACUGAAGAAUGUUGGCAAAUGAUUAUGGAUGCUGGUUUAUAGUUAUCAUAUAUGAGAUUUGACCCAUUGAUUGUGUCAUUGUGGCAUUUUCAUUUAAAUUGUGGUAGGUGGUCUGCUGUCAUUUUCAUAUAAAAAGGAAUUCAUGUUGUUUGAAUAAAAUUCAUUUUCAUUUUCUUACUAUCAUCUUCAACUAAUUUUUAUACCUACCAUAAGAUAAUAACUCUAAAUUAUAUGGGUUUAGGUUGUUCCUCCCAAUUAAGAUAAAUUAUUAGUUACAAUAUAGCUAUGUUUUAUAUUUGACUAGAAAUAUUUUAUUUACGUAAUAUUAAGAAAUGUUUUAACAUAAAUAUAUCAGUAAAAAGGAUAAUAGAAAAGUGUAUAAAUUAUAAAAAUAGGUCAAAAUAAAUUGUGUCGUACUAACACUUCCACACGGUAACUUUACCAGAGAUAAUCUUAUUAUCAGGAUAAUUUUCGGAAUACCUGUUACGAUUUUUAUUGCUCAAUAAUUAAUUUGAUCCAGAGGUAAGGAGUAAUUUAUUACGCCAAAAUAUACUGUUAAUACAAUCAAAAUUACGCCUGUAACUCAAGUUAAUUCUCGAGGUUUUUUAAAAUCACGAAAAAAUUGUUAUGUCCACACCUAAAAGUAAAAAUUUAACUAAAAGAUAAAAUAUUAGUUGCAAGCAAGUUAGUUCAUCAAUGUAUUGUUGAUGCCAGAAGAGAACACCGAUUAGUGAGGAAGGAAGUGUACCUAUGUGGCUAUAAGUGACAGUAUUUUUACACGAAAAUUUGACUUGAACUUGAGUAUAACUCAAUCAGCUAAAAUCAUAUUAGUAUAUAUACUUACCUACACGAAGCUCGCAAGACAGUUUCUUCCCCAAAGCCUUCAUUAGGCCCAUCAGAGAGAUGUAUCUUUUGUUUGUUCUAUUGCUUUGAUGUCUGCAACACAAGAACAAUGUCAAACCGAGGUCCGAGCCAAACCACACAUAAACUGAAUGAAGCAGAACAUUUAACAAAUAAUAAUUAGUUCGGUGACAAAGUUCAGUGAUUUUUAAGUAUGGCGAAAUACUACUAUUAAUCUUUAUAUUGUGUAUAAGUUUUGAUUUUGAUUCUUUUAUUUUAAUUUGAUAAUUUUUUCCUCAAGUUUUUCAAUUAUGGAAAUUUAAUUUUGGGUAAUUGCUAAAUUUAUUAAAUUAUAUUAUUUAUAAAAUUAUACGUGUCAAAACUCUUUUUAUUUUGAAAAAUCGAGAUCGACUUUAAAAACGAAAGUUUGGAGUCGCUACCAAUCCUUUUUGGUUUAGGUGUAAUCGGAUCACUUAAUAAAUCAUUUUAUUAAAAUAUGGAUUUUGGCCCAACGAAAAUCAAGAAAUGGGUUCGGGAGUCGGUUACAUACGAGGAAGGAUUAGCACCCUCGUAACACCCAAAAUUAACCUAACUGAUUAAUUUAUGUCCUAAUGUUGAAAAUUUAAAAAAAAAACAUUGAAAUACGAUCCCCUUAAAAGUGUGUGCACAACUCGAACUGGAUUUCAAGAUUCACUCGUUUCAAAGAAAUAAAAUAUCACAUCCAGCACGUUAGGACACGAUAUUUUAAGCCUCCAAAAACUGAGAUCACUUCAUGAUUUCCAAAACGCAACAAGAAGGGUAUUCAAUUAUUUGGACCAACGAAAAAAGCGAAACCCAACACGUUAUGGCACGAUUUCUCGAAUUUCUAAACAUAGAACAUUGCCUUAUUUUAGAAGUUUUUUUUUAAAAAAUUGCUAGUUGCAACAACGAAUUAAAACUACUUGUUUGCUUGAGGAUAAAAAUAAUCGAUAUUGAGUAAACACGAGAAUUGAAAACAUAAUGCAAUUACAAGAGAAAAAAAUAGUUAUAUGUAUGAACAAUAAUAUGUGAAAACGAUAUGAAAGUGAAUGACGUCACAUGAUAUGCAAGACAACACAAGAAUUAGGAGUCAAUGAUAUUUAAAGAUUAUUAAAUAUAUGCAAAGAAAUAAUACAAGUAAAAAAUUCGAAAUAACUUAUAUGCAUAUAAAAACUGACAAUAUAUGAAUAAUUAUUAAUAUAUAUAUAUAUAUAUGUUAUGUAAGAAGAAAUUCAAACUAAAUAAUACAAAACAUAGACAAGUUAAUUUAACUAAUGAUGUAUAUAUGAAAAUGGAAAAAAAAGUGUAAAUGAUAUAUACCAAGAUACUAAAAUAAAUAAAAUAUACAAUAAUCCUUUAAAGAGAACCAAAUUAUACAUAAAUAAAUUUAAAUAUAUAUAUAAAAUUUAAGAAAAUACUUACAUAAAAUAAUACGAGAACAAUAAUGUACAUGGAAUAAAUAAUUUUAUCAUAAAUUAUAUAUAUGUAUAAUAAUAAUACAUAAAGGUAUUUUAACUAAAUAUUGUACAAGAAUUUUAAAACAACACUACAUAAUAUAGAAUUUUACAAUAAUAUUUUUAUAAUUUAAACAAAUAAAAAUAGAGUAGAAAAUUAUUUAGGUAACCUAAAAAGUAUAUUAAAAUAAAUUUUUAAAAGUUGAGUACCAAAUAAAUUUAAGAAAUAAUGAAUUAUACAUGUAAAAAAAAACUUAAUUGAAAUAAACCAAACUUAAAGAGAUAAUUAAUGAAUAAAUAGAACGUCAAAUUAAAACUAGGGACCACAAUUCAAUUGGCACAAAUUCUCAAGGACCAAAAACGAAAAUGACCCAAAUCUCCAAAACUCAGCACCUGGGCGUGGACCAGAUCACAAUCAACGUGUAAAUUAUAGGAAAAAUUUAAUAAAAUAAAUAAGGUGCAAAUAGGAGUUAAUUCAAAACUGGCGCGAAUGGGAAGGACUGGAAGCGAAAUUGCCCCUUUAAAAUGAAAGUGUGUGGACCCAGCCUGUGAAUUGGGUCAACACACGGGCCUUUCCAAAAUGCUACUGCUUUUAACAACCAUUUAUUUUAUUAUUAAAAACAAAAGCUAGUUUUAAAGUCUUUUUUUUUGUUAAAAAAACUUUAACUUUAAUUUCUUUUUUCUAAAAAACCCUAAGCUCUUUCUUCUCCCCACUGUCCUCUUUCUUCCAGCCGCAAACAAGGCCAACACCAAGCCUUCAUUCGCCUCCGUGACGACCAACAGAGGGCUGGAGAACCCCUCUUGUGAAGCGAAUCGAGAGGUACUCACCCUUUCCCCUUUUAUUUCGUAUUUUCGGAUUUGAAUGGAAAUAAAAAUCAAGGAAAAGAACGGGAAAAGAAAAUGAUAAAAUAACCACCUUAGGAAUAUUUUCUUGGCUGCUCUUUACUCUCUUUUUUGGUAUCUUUUGUAUUUCAAAAAAAAAGAAAAAAAACCCCUUUACCAUUAAAAAUCAAAGGCUUUAUAGCCAAAAUACAAGCAAUUUCUGCUGCUUCCUUGUCCAACUUACAGGCCGUGAAGUUGUGGAGAACGAGGGGCAUGGAGUAUGGGCGCAAACAUGGAGCGAGGCACACGGGGAUCGUGCGUGGAGUGCCGACGUGGGGGUUGCGGCGUGGGGCUGCUGUGCAAAAGGGGAACUUAGGGUUUCUGAAACCCUAAAAAUUUGGGCCUAUCGGGCCAUUGUAAAAUUUUGGGCUUGUAAACCGAACGAAUUUGAUGGACUAUUUAAUUUUUGUGUUUGAUUUUGCUUUCCUUAUGGGCCGGGCAAAAUUCGGGUCUUACAAUACGCGGCAAACAUAUUAUCAUAUAUGUAAUGACGUAUAAUUUACUAUUUCCACAUAUUGCUCUAAAAAAGGUGAGUUAAUUGGAUAACUAUUGUUCUGGUGAAUGCAAAAAUUUCAAAACAAAAAGUAUAGGAGUUAAGAAUAGUCAAAUUGAAGAAUAUAGAUUAAAUCAAGGCUAAUAGCAUAAUUUAACCAAAUAGUUUUAAGUGCUACCAUUAGGGUCAAGACUGAAAUUUAAAAAUACAAAAAAUACAAGUAUUAAAAUUGACCAAAUUAAAAUAUAAUGACUAAAUCCACACCUUAUAGUAAAA
rnacentral:lncRNA from 1 species